rnacentral:lncRNA from 1 species
CUGUUCAACACAAGCUUGUUAAUUGAAAGCGACAGCAGAAGUCUUCCUUUUCCACAAUUAGAGAGCCUAACCCUAAGGUCAUGCAACCUUACUGAAUUUCCAGAAUUCAUUAAAAGGCAAGACAAGUUGGUUGACCUCGAUCUUUCUAACAGCCAUAUCCAUGGUUUUGUGCCCAAUUGGUUGUGGAAGAGCAGUCUUUCAUGGGUAGACCUUUCUUUCAAUGUGAUUGAUUUUCCAAAACAGCUUCCCUUGAAUGAUGCAAACUUCUCAUUUCCAAUGUUGAAAGAAUUGCGUUUGAGAUCCUGUAACAUAAGUGCGUUUCCAGAGUUCAUCAAAACACAAGACAAGUUAGUUGUGUUAGAUCUUUCUAACAACCAUAUCCAUGGUGUUGUGCCUAAUUGGUUGUGGAAUAGCUCUCUUUCAGGGGCAAACCUUUCUUUCAAUGUGAUUGAUUUUCCAAAACAGCUUCCCUUAAGUGAUUUAAACUUCUCUUUUUCAAUGUUGAGGGAAUUGUAUCUGGAAUCUUGUAACAUAAGAUCAUUUCCAGAGUUCUUAAAGAGUCAAGAAAAUUUAGAAUAUCUCGAUCUUUCAAAUAAUAAAAUAAGUGGUGCAAGUCCAAACUGGGUGUGGAAGAAAAGUUUGCGGUAUCUGUUUCUUGCAAAUAACCAUCUCUCAUCUUUGGACCAACUUUUACCCAAUCAGAGUUCAACUUCUUCACAAGACUCUUUCUAUUUCGACGCAUCUUAUAACAAUUUGAGUGGCCCAAUUCCAAAUUGGUUAUGCAAUAUGAGUCAACUUCGCGGUUUUGAUGCAUCUUAUAACAAUUUGAGUGGCUCAAUUCCAAAUUGCUUGAACAAUAUGAGUCAACUUGAAACUUUCGAUGUAUCCUAUAACAAUUUGAGUGGCCCAAUUCCAAAUUGCUUUGGCAAUAUGAGUGCUCUGAUUUGGUUGAUUUUGCAAGGAAAUAACUUCAGUGGAAUGUUACCAAAAUUUUCAAAAGCAACCCACGUAUAUAUUCUGAAAGUUAGUGAGAAUAGAUUGGAAGGGAAGUUGCCCAGAUCAUUAGCUGAAUGCACUCAGCUUGAAGUUUUGGACGUGGGAAACAACAAGAUGAAUGAUACAUUCCCUUUUUGGUUGGAGAAAUUGCCUUACUUGACGGUUCUAAUAUUGCGGGAAAACAGAUUUUAUGGUCAAAUUAAACAUAGAUUUGUUUUCCCAACUUUGGAUGUGUUGGACAUUGCUUCAAACCAGUUUUCUGGUGAACUAUCCAUUGAUUUCCUUCAACCCACUCGACUAAGGUCACUCAAAAUUGGUGGGAAUAAAUUGGAAGGGAAGUUGUCGAGAUCAUUAGCCAAUUGUACAGCACUUGAGGUUCUGGACCUCGGAAAUAAUAUGGUUCAUGAUACAUUCCCAUUUUGGCUAGAGAAGCUACCUUCCUUGAAGGUUCUCGUUUUGCGAGCAAACAGAUUCUACGGCACAAUUUCAAAAAUCGACACGGAGCGUGGGUUUCCAAAGCUACGCAUAUUGGACAUUGGUUCCAAUCAUUUUUCAGGUGACUUGUCCAUUGAAUUUUUGCAGAGUUUGAAGGCAAUGGCGAAGAUGACUAAGGACGAAAAGGUUAAGCGGGUUUACAUUGGGGACGUCUAUUAUAAAGAUUCUGUGACAAUUGUUAACAGGGGGGUUGAACUAUUUUACCAAAAAAUCUUAACUGUUCUUACUUGUCUUGACCUUUCCAACAAUAGUUUCCAUGGGAGAAUACCAGAAGAGAUACAAAUGCUGAGGUCACUCAGAGUGAUGAACUUAUCCAACAAUGGCUUUUCUGGUGAAAUCCCAUUAGCACUUGAAAAUCUAAAAGAUCUUGAAUCUUUGGAUCUCUCACAGAAUGAGCUGUCAGGGAAGAUUCCUGCACAACUUACAAGUUUAACUUUCUUAGCAGCAUUGAAUUUGUCUUACAACCUACUUGAAGGGAGCAUACCGCAAGGCAACCAAUUCAGUACAUUUUCAAAUGAUUCUUACCGUGGGAAUCCAAAAUUAUGCGGUCCACCAUUGUCCAAGAAAUGCAAUGAAGUUGGUCUUCCAAAGCCACCACCUCUAGGGGAAGAUGAAGAUUCAUGGUGAUAUGCUGUGUCUACUUGGAAAAUUGCGUUGAUAGGUUAUGCUAGUGGAUUAGUCGUUGGGCUAUGUAUUGGAUAUACAGUGCUGAAUGAGUUGGGAAACAAAUGGGUUGACAAGUUCAAAAAGUGUGGGAAAAGAAAUAGGAGGAGAUGUAGGUGACUCCAUCAGAAUUCUUGCUUCAAAAUUAGCUGGUAAGCAUUUGUCUUUCUAAUUUGAACAGAUAGUUGUUGAUAUAUAUAUAGGUUUUCAUAACCUCAUUUUUUGCUGUCUUUACCAAGUUCACUAUCAUACCGUACUUGUAAUUUUAUGUUACCAUUGAGGUACAUGAAUAAUCUAGGCAGUGAUCCUAACAAUGAUCCUAACAGCUGAGGAGAUUUGAUGGCUUGAUGCUGAUGAAAGCUUUUUCUGAUGGACAUUGGACUGAUUGUGUCAAGAGAUGCAGAUGUUGCUACUCCCACCCUUUGCUCUUCCAAAGAGACAUUAGCUUUAUAUUUUAUCAAUCACGUGUUGGGGUUUAGGAUCGGGUGUAAAGGGUGGACCUAUUGGUCCGGGUUUUAGUUCAACCCGACACUUAUUUUUAUACUAGUUUAUUUAUAGUUUCAGUGAUAGUUUUAUUAAUUUUAAAAAUAUAGUUGAAUUAGAUAAUAAUAUGAUAAAAAUAAAAAUAAAAAUAAAAAUUGUCACAGGGGCCUUUCAGUUUCGACGCAUCUUCUAACAAUUUGAGUGGCCCAAUUCCAAAUUGGUUAUGCAAAAUGAGUCGACUCGGCCGUUUUGAUGUAUCUUAUAACAGUUUGAGUGGCCCAAUUCCGAAUUGCUUGGGCAAUAUGAGUGCUCUCUAUUCGUUGGAUCUGCAAGGAAAUAACUUCAGUGGAAUGAUGCCAAAAUUUUCAAAAGCAACCCAACUGUCGUUUCUCAAAGUUAGUGAGAAUAGAUUGGAAGGGAAGUUGCCCAGAUCAUUAGCUGAAUGCACUCAGCUUGAAGUUUUGGACGUGGGAAGCAACAAGAUGAAUGAUACAUUCCCUUUUUGGUUGGAGAAAUUGCCUUACUUGACGGUUCUAAUAUUGCGGGAAAACAGAUUUUAUGGUCAAAUUAAACAUUUCAAACAUAAAUCUGUUUUCCCAACUUUGGAUGUAUUGGACAUUGCUUCAAACCAGUUUUCUGGUGAACUAUCCAUUGAUUUCCUUCAACCCACUCGACUAAGGUCACUCAAAAUAGGUGGGAAUAAAUUGGAAGGGAAGCUGUCGAGAUCAUUAGCCAAUUGCACAGCACUUGAGGUUCUGGACCUUGGAAAUAAUAUGGUUCAUGAUACAUUCCCAUUUUGGUUAGAGAAGCUACCUUCCUUGAAGGUUCUCGUUUUGCGAGCAAACAGAUUCUACGGCACAAUUUCAAAAAUUGACACGAAACGUGGGUUUCCAAAGCUACGCAUAUUGGACAUUGCUUCCAACAAUUUUUCAGGUGACUUGUCUAUUGAAUUUUUGCAGAGUUUGAAGGCAAUGGCGGAGAUGACUAAUGAUGAAAAGGCUACGCUGGAUUAUAUCGGAGAGAAUUAUUAUCAAGACUCUGUGACAAUUGUUAACAGAGGGAUUGAAAUGUUGUACCAAAAAGUCUUGACAAUUCUUACUUGUCUUGACCUUUCCAACAAUAGUUUCCAUGGGAGAAUACCAGAAGAGAUACAAAUGCUGAGGUCACUCAGAGUGAUAAACUUAUCCAACAAUGGCUUUUCUGGUGAAAUCCCAUUAGCACUUGAAAAUCUAAAAGAUCUUGAAUCUUUGGAUCUCUCACAGAAUGAGCUGUCAGGGAAGAUUCCUGCACAACUUACAAGUUUAACUUUCCUGGCAGCAUUGAACUUGUCAUGCAACCAACUUGAAGGGAGCAUACCACAAAGCAACCAAUUCAUUACAUUUACAAAUGAUUCCUACCGUGGGAACCCAAAAUUGUGUGGGCUGCCAUUGUCAAGGAAAUGCAAUGAAGUUAGUCUUCCAAUGCCACCACCUCCAGGGGAAGGUGAAGAUUCAUGGUUAAAUGCUCUGUCUACUUGGAAAAUUGCGUUGAUAGGUUAUGCUAGUGGAUUAAUCGUUGGGCUAUGUAUUGGAUAUACAGCGCUGAAUGAGUUGGGAAACAAAUGGGUUGACAAGUUCAAAAAGUGUGGGAAAAGAAAUAGAAGAAGAUGUAGGUGACUCCGUCAGAAUUUUUGCUUCAAAAUUAGCUGGUAAGCAUUUGUCUUUCUAAUUUGAACAGAUAGUUGUUGAUAUAUAUAUGUAUAUAUAUAGGUUUUCAUAACCUCAUUUUUUGUUGUCAUUACCAACUUCACUAUCAUAUCGUACUUGUAAUUUGAUGUUACCAUUGAGCAAUGCAGGAGGUACUUGAAGUAGGAAAUGGAAUGUACAGUUGUGAGGUUCAUGAAGAAUGUAGGCAAUGAUCCUAACAAGAUCAAUCCACUGGUUUGUAGUUUUGCUUUAUAUGCACUUUUUUCCUGUUGUAGUUUUCUAUGAGUAUAAAUAAGUGUUUAUUCAUUUUGCAUCCAGGUCCCUGUGGAUUUGGGGGAUGCAAUGUUUCACUGCUACUGAAUUUCCAUGCUAAUAAUGAUAUUAUAAACAAGGAAAUGUCUGCCCAAGCUUUCUUUUAUAUGCAAUUCACUUCAAUUUUUUUAUCUUCAGAAUAUUUGUACAGCUGAGGAGAUUUGAUGGCAUGAUGUUGGUGAAAGCCAUAUUUGACGGACAUUGGACUGAUUGUGUAAAGAGACGCAGAUGCUGCUACUCCCAUCCUUUGCUCUUCCAAACAGACAUGAGUUUUAUAUUUUAUGAAUCACGUGUUGGGCUUUAGGACCGGGUGUAAAGGGUGGACCUGUUGGUCCGGGUUUUAGUUCAGCCCGUCACUUAUUUUUAUACUAGUUUAUUUAUACUUUCAAGGAUAGUUUUAUUAAUUUUAAAAAUAUGGUUGAAUUAAGUAAUAAUAUGAUAAAAAUAAUAAAAAUAAUAAAAAUUUUAUCAAAUAAAUUAUUUCUUAAAAUCUAGUAUGCUUUCCAAUGUUAGCCAAAGGCCAACAAUAUCUCACACUAAUAUUUUCUUUGUUAGUCCAAAAUUAAAAAUUUCAAAUUAGGAUGUAACUUAUAGUUUGAGGGCUUAAUCAAAAUUUUUUUUAAAAAUUUAGAAAUCAAUUUAAAAUUUAAUCCAUAAUUUAAGGAAUUAACCUUUUGGUAAAUCCUAACAUAUUCAGAAGUUCCAUACUCAUUAAUAAAGAGUGAACCUGUUGGUCUAGGUUUUAUGUUAAUUUUAUCACGAAAUUUUAAUUUUAUUUCAUUUUAGUCCCGUGAGAAACGGUGCGCAUAAGGGCAAGGUAUAUUCUCCUAUUCGGUCCCUAUUCUUUUUAGCAUGUUAUAUUUUAAUUCUUAUUAGCCUUUUUUAUUUACAAUUUAUACUCCUUAAUUUUAUUCCGAUUUCAAUAUGAUCCUUAGUUUAUUUAACUUCAAUUUUUUUUACAAACUGUUUCAUUUAUUAUUUAUUUAUUUAUUUUCAAUUUUUAAUAAAAUGUUUUAUUGGUAGUCACCUUUUUAUUUAUUUAUUUACUUAUUGCUUCCUUUGUUUUUUAUUUUUAAUUGGCUUGCUUUUUGUAUUUUCCUUUUAUUGUGCAUUUUUUGGCGGCACUUACCACAAAGCGCCGCAAAUAGUAAGCAUUAGCGGCGUUUUGAAAUAAGUGCCACUAACUCUAAUAUACGUCAAGGCCAAACUCUGCGUUUUGGUUAGGAUACUUUGCGGCGCUUUCCACAAGCGCCGCUACUACUAUAGUUUAGCGGCGUUUUCCAAUAAGCGCCACUAAUUCUAAUAUACCUCAAGACCAAACUCCGCGUUUUGGUUAAGAUAUUUUGAGGCGCUUACAACCAAACGCUGCUAUUACUAUGCUUUAGUGGCGUUUUCCUUAAACGCCACUAAUUAUAAUAUACAUCAAGACCAAAACGCUGCGUUUUGGUUAAGAUGUUUUGCGGCAUUUAACGCUCAGCGCCGCUAAUACUAUACAUUAGCGGCGUUUUCUUUAUAAGCACCACUAAUUGUAAUAUACAUCAACACCAAACUCUGCGUUUUGGUUAACAUCUUUUGCGGCGCUUCCGCUAAGCGUCGCUAAUACUAUGCAUUACCGGCGUUUGUUCGUAAGCGCCACUAAUUCUAAUAUACAUCAAGACCAGAACACUGCGUGUUGGUCUUGAGAUUCUACGGCACUGUGUGGUAAACGCCACUAAUGAUGUUUUUUUUAUGGCGUUUGUUCGGGAAACGCCACUAUUCAUCCGACUUUUUGCGGCGUUUUAAAAGAAGCGCCGCUAAUGCUAGAUCUUUAGCGGCGUUGUAUUCUUUGCGCCACUAAUGCUCGAUUUUUAGCGGCGUUUGUAAUCCAAACGCCACAAAAUAUGCCGCUAAAAGCCUGUUCUGGUGUAGUGUUAGAGUUGAGCCCAUAAUUUGGGGUGUUGGAUUUAAUUAAACCCGUUGGUAGAUCAUAGCAUAUUUAUAAGUUGGGAUUUAGGAGUACUCAUUUAUUUUUGAUGAUUUUUAUGAGUGUUACAUAACAUCCUUUAUGUAUAUAUAUUUGAAGUUGUUUGAGUUUGAUAUUUAAUCAUUAGAAUUAAAAAUCCAAUUCUCUACUAAUAAAUCAAACAAUUGUUUUUUUUAGUGUUAUUUUUGAGCUCUUAUGUAUUUGUAUUUUACCUAUGUUUAUAGUGUUGACUGGUCAAAAUUAUAGGGUAUAUAAAAAACAUUAUUGUGUAAAAUUGUUUGAUUUAAAUUAAAAAAUAAAUAUGUCAAAUUAAAAUUUUAUUAUAGUAUAAUUAAUAUUUGAAAUCAUAAAUAUUAGAAAACUGUUUCAAAGCAAAAUAAUAAAAAAUUAUUAUAGUCUUUACAUAAUAUAAAUUUUAGAAUUUUUAUGAAUAUUUUAACUUUAAAAAUAUUUUAAUAUAUUUUUGUAAUUUUUGUUGAGAGAGAAUAUUAAUUUGUUAAUUUUUAAAAUUGACAAGAAUCAAAGGAGUAAAUAUAUCAAUCUGUUAUUUGAAUUAUUCGAAUUAUUUAAAUUAUAAAAUUCAACUCGAACCUCGAAUUAUAACUAUUUUUAAUAUUAUAAAAUAUUAAAAUAUUAAAAUUAAAUAAUAAUUAAAUAAUAAUAUAGAAAUGAAAAUAUUUCUCAAGCUUUAAGAAAGUUUGAAAGCUGAAAUUUAAAAAUGUAUCUUUCAAAAGUGAAAAAUUCUAUAUAUUCUAUCAUCAAAAUUUCCACUUAUUGUGUCCAUCAAUCUAUAAGGUGACUUGACUUGUACACAUUGGUUAAACAUUAUUUUUGUGCAAUAAAAACUUGGACAUUUGCAUGCAAUGCCAAAGACUUAAUACCUAAAUUAAAAGGCCUAUAAUAUUUCAUACUACAAUUUUUUCUGGUCCUAAAUUAAAGAUUUUAAAAUUUUCAAAUUAAAACCAUUAUGAUUUAAAAUUAUUAUAGUUUUUACAAAAUAUAAAUUUGAGAAUUUUUAUGAAUAUUUUGAUUUUAAAAAUUAUUUAAAAUUUUAUUUGAAAACUUUUGUUGAGAGAGAUCAAUUUGUUAAUUUUUAAAAUUGACAGGGACCAAAGGAGCAUGUACAUCAAUUUAUUGUUUGAAGUAUUUGAGUUAUUUAAAUUGUAAAAUUCAACUCGAAACUCGAAUUAUAAAAAUAUUUAUUAAUAUAAAACAUAAAACAUAAAAAUUAAAUAUUAAAAAAAUGACAUCAAUAAUAUAUUAUUCUCUAAUAAUAUAUUAAAACGCAAAUUAAAUGUGAAUUUAACAACUUAUUUCUAAUACUAACAACAAAUAAUUUAUGCUAUAAAUUAUUUAUUAUUAGUAUUAUUAUUAUUAUUAUCCCUUGCUGGAAAAGGUUAACCAAAAAGACUUAACUAAAGUGGUGGAACAUUAUUUUGAUGCAGUAUUGACUGGGCAAAAAGACUUGGAAAUUGCAUGCUAUGCCAAACAUGAAAACUACACAUUUGUGUAUAAAUAAGUUGUAUGCCAAGCACAAUCCUUCUUCACACCCAACAAACAUGAACACUCUUCAUUUCCUUAUUUCACUCUUCCUCUUCUCAUGCUUCCUUUCUCUUGUCUUGUCUUUUUCACCUCCUCAAUCUCAUCUCCCUAAGCAAUGCCUUGAUGACCAGAGAGCUCCUCUCCUGCAAUUGCAGCAUCAUCUUUACUAUGCCCCUCAUUUUACUUUCUCUUCCGAAUUUGACCUCUGGGAUGUCAACACUGAUUGUUGCUCUUGGGAAGGAGUCACUUGUGAUGCUUAUGGUCAUGUCGUUGGCAUUGAUCUUAGUUACAAAAACCUUUCAGGCAGCUUUCACCCCAUAUUCAAUCUCCAUCGUCUUCAACGCCUUAAUCUUGCUGGAAACAACUUUAAUACCACUCUGUUUUCCUAUGGGUUUGAUAAACUCCAAAAUCUAACUCAUCUCAACCUUUCAAGCUCAUGUUUCCAUGGCCAAAUUCCAAUGAACAUCUCACACCUAACAAGGUUAGUCUCUCUGAACCUAUCUUAUCAAGAUGAUUGCUAUUGGAGAAAUGGUUACGAUUAUAACUCAGCUACUUUAAAAUUGGAGAAACCAAACUUCAAGACAUUUAUCAAGAAUUUGAAGUUUCUCACGGAGCUUUAUUUGGAUGGUGUCGACAUUUCAACUCAAAGUACUAAAUGGUGUGAAACCACAUCUCUUGUACUUCCAAACCUGCAUGUGUUGAGUCUGUCAAGCUGUGGUUUGAAAGGUCCAUUAUGUUCUUCACUCUCAAGACUCUCUUUUCUUUCCAAACUUAUCCUUGAUUGGAACCCAAUCUCUUAUUUACCUCCCAAUUUCUUGGAAAUUUCCUCUCGUUUGGUUUCUCUCAGUUUGAGGAACUGCAAUUUGAGUGGCCAUUUUCCAACUGAAAAUCUCUUAUCGCCAAAAAUGCAAAGCAUUGACAUUUCAGAUAAUGACCAACUUAUGGGUCAGUUGCCAGAAUUUUCAUCAAACAAUUCUUUACAGAGUUUGUCGCUUUCUUAUACAAAUUUCAGUGAAAAACUACCCCAAUCAAUUGGUAACCUCAAGUUCCUGACAAAUUUAGAGCUUGAUGAUUGCAAUUUUUUUGGACCCAUUCCAUCGUCAAUUGCAAAUCUUAGUCACCUGGUCAACCUAUAUCUAGGAGGGAACAAGCUUUCUGGAUCAAUACAUUCUUCUUUAUUUACUCUUCCAUCGUUGAAGAUCUUGUAUCUUGGAGAAAAUCAAUUGGUUGGGAAAAUUGAUGAGUUCCCCAAUGCAUCUUCUUCUUUGAUUCAAGAAUUAUAUAUAGGCAAUAAUUAUUUAAAAGGAACAAUCCCAAAAUCAAUCCUUCAACUUCCAAGGCUUGAAUGGCUUUAUAUCCGAGACAAUAGCUUCAGUUCCAUGAAGCUUGACAUGUUUGUCCAACUCAAGAACUUAAAGGGUCUCUACUUAUCCAACGUAAGCUUGUUAAUUGACAGCGACAACGGAAGUCUUACUUUUCCCCAAUUAGAGAGCCUAGGGCUAAAGUCAUGCAACCUUACUGAAUUUCCAGAAUUCAUUAAAAGGCAAGACAAGUUGGUUGACUUAUAUCUUUCUAGCAAUCAUAUCCAUGGUGUUGUGCCCAAUUUGUUGUGGAAGAGCAGUCUUUCAUGGGUAGACCUUUCUUUCAAUAUGAUUGAUUUUCCAAAACAGCUUCCCUUAAAUGAUGCUAACUUCUCAUUUCCAAUGUUGAAAGUAUUGCAUUUGAGGUCUUGUAACAUAAGUGCGUUUCCAGAGUUCAUCAAAACUGUUGAAAGCUGGACUGCAAUGCAACAUGGAGCCAAAAGCUUGCUACUAUCGAGACCAGCAGCUAUCGAGCUCAGCUCGUUUUGCUUGGUGCGCACGAAUGGUUUUUGAACUGAAUGAAGCAACCAACUUUGCUGUUUUGUUUUGAUGUAAUUUGAUUCAGUUCAACUUUAGUUUGUUUGUAAUGCUAGUUAAACUUAAGUUAGUGACAUGAUCUUUUGAUGUAAUGGCUGAUUGGUCAGCUAUGUUUGAUUAUUUUUGGCUAGUGAUUAGGUUUGUAUUAGUUGGGGCAGUUAAAUACAUUAGGUAACUGUCAAUGUACAAUUGUAACUCUUUUAUAUAUUUCAAGUUGAAUGAAAAAUGAGGUAUGUUCAGUCACAAACAUUGCUGAGUAUUUUGAUUUUUGAUGCUUUGCUUGCCUUGAUUCUUCUUGCUUCAGUCUUGCAAACAUUGAGUUGCAAAUUUGCUUUGAUGUUUGCUGCUGUCAUUGUUCCAACAAAUGGUAUCAUGAGCCCGAGUCUUUGAGGGGCCUUUGUAUGCAAUCUGUUGUGUUCGAAACAAAACCAACAGCAAGUUCAAAAUUUGGUAAGAUUGAAGCAUUUAAAAUCAGUUCAGCAGAAUGAGUUUCACUCCACCACCUCCACCAGUGUUCACUGGAGAAAACUAUCACAUUUGGAUAGUUAAAAUGAAGACUUAUCUCUAGGCACAUGAUCUUUGGAGUGUGAUCGAGAAUGAUGCUGAACCACCUCCAUUGAGAGCCAAUCCCACCAUUGCACAGAUGAGGCAACAUACUGAGGAGCGAGCCAAGAAGCAUAAGGCUAUGGCCUGCUUGCAAAAUGGAGUCUCUGAUGUGAUAUUUACUCGCAUCAUGGCCUGUGACUCACCUAAGCAGGCUUGGGAGAAGCUGAAGGAGGAGUUCAUGGGGACUGAUAAGACAAGGCAACAGCAAGUAAUCAACCUCAGGAGAGACUUUGAAAACUUGAGGAUGAAGGAGUCUGAGACCAUCAAGCAGUACUCAGACAGGAUAAUGGCCAUUGUCAACAGCAUUAGGCUCCUGGGAGUGGACUUCACAGAGAGCAGAGUUGUUGAAAAGGUUAUUACAACUCUUCCUGAGAAAUUUGAGUCUAAAAUCUCUUCACUUGAGGACUCGAGGGACUUAUCAGCCAUUUCAUUGUCUGAGCUGAUAAAUUCCCUAUAUGCACUUGAGCAAAGGAGGGCAAAUAGGCAGGAGGAGAAUCCUGAAGCUGCUUUCCAGGCUAAAGCCAGUGAAGGCUCGAGUGUGAGUGCAAAAGGCAAGAAGCCUUGGCACAAUAGAAGGGUCAAGUCAGGAAGAGAUGAAGCAAAAAGGGUGUUCCCACCAUGUGUUCAUUGCAAGAAGACAACACAUUCAGAAAAGUAUUGCUGGUUUAGGCCAGAUAUUCAGUGUAGAAAAUGCAAACAGUUUGGCCAUGUGGAGAAGGUGUGCAAGGGCAAACCAAGGGAGGCUACUCUGCAACAAGCUAGACCUGCUGAGGACAUUCAAGCUCAGGAGGAGCAAGUGUUCACAGCAACUUGUUUUGUUGGCACAACCAAGGCCAGCAAUGAUUGGCUACUAGACAGUGGCUGCUCACACCAUAUGGCAGCAGAUGAGAAACUGUUCAAAAGCCUAGACAGAAGCUUCCACUCGAGGAUUAGAAUUGGAGAUGGUAGGCUGAUUGAGGCUAAAGGCAAGGGCAGUGUGUUGAUUAGCACUGGUUCAGGUAACAAGCUGAUCUCAGAUGUGUUUUUUGUACCUGAAUUAGACCAGAAUUUGCUUAGUGUGGGCCAAUUAGUUGAAAAGGGCUAUACAUUGGUUUUUAAGGAUGGUUGCUGUAUUGUUCAAGACAUGAAUGGUCUGGAGUUAGUCACAGUCUCUAUGACUGAUAGGUGCUUCAUGCUGGAUGUUAGCCAAAUAGAAAGAAAGGCAUACACCAGCCUUGUUGAAAGCACUGACUUGUGGCAUAGGAGACUAGGCCAUGCAAAUUUUAGAUCUAUUGAUCUAUUACAUAGGCUGAAUCUGGUUGAUGACAUUUCAAAAAUUGAAGCUAGUGGGAAUGUUUGUGAGGUUUGUCAGCUUGGUAAGCAGGCUAGACUGCCUUUUCCUGCUGACAGUGCUUGGAGAGCUCAAGACAAGCUCGAAUUGGUGCACUCUGAUGUUUGUGGCCCUAUGAGAACACCUUCAAUCAGUGAGAACAGGUACUUUGCCUUGUUUAUAGAUGAUUUAACAAGGUUAUGCUGGGUCUAUUUCUUGAAGCAAAAGUCAGAAGUGUUUGAAGCCUUCUGUAAAUUCAAGGCUUAUGCUGAAAAUCAGUCAGGCUGCAAAAUUAGAGCCUUGAGGACUGAUAAUGGAUCUGAAUAUGUGUCUGAGAGAUUUCAGAAGCUUUGUGACAAUGCUGGGAUUCACCAUCAGCUCACAACAGUCUAUUCUCCUCAACAGAAUGGAGUCUGUGAGAGAAAGAAUAGGACUGUACUGAACAUGGCCAGGUGCCUCUUGUUUCAAGGCAAGCUUCCAAGUCAGUUUUGGGCUGAGGCAGUCAACACCUCAGUGUAUCUGCUCAACAGACUGCCAACUAGAGCAGUCAAGGAUAAGACUCCUUUUGAGGCUUGGCACGGAGUCAAACCUGUGAUAACACACUUAAAAGUGUUUGGCUGUGUAUGUUAUGCACUUAUUCCAGUGGAGAAAAGGACCAAGCUUGAGAGUAGAGCAACUCCAGGAAUCUUUGUUGGCUACAGCAGCAAUAAGAAGGGCUAUAGAGUGUAUGAUCCUACAGCAAAGAAGGUUUUAGUCAGCAGGGAUGUUAAGUUUGAUGAGGAAAAGGUGUGGAAUUGGAAUGGUGUUGUGGCUAACUUGUCUGAAUUGGACCAGUUAGACUUGGUUGAACCUGCAGAAGAAGGACCAAGUAAUGAUGCUGUCGAUGAUAUACCAGUGAGGGGCACCAGAACUUUGGUUGAUGUUUAUCAGAGGUGCAAUGUUGCUGUGAUUGAGCCCUCAGACUUUGAAGAGGCUGCUAAAAACAGAAGCUGGAUGAAAGCUAUGGAAGCUGAGUUGGAAAUGAUCAACAAAAAUCAGACUUGGGAGUUGGUGAGCAGACCAGAACACAAGAGGGUCAUAGGAGUUAAAUGGGUGUAUCGGGCCAAGUACAAUGCUGAUGGCUCACUGAACAAGCACAAGGCCAGGCUUGUGGUGAAGGGCUACAGUCAGCAGUAUGGUGUUGACUACCUAGAAACUUUUGCUCCAGUGGCAAGACUGGAUACAAUUAAGCUACUGUUUGCUUUAGCAGCUCAGAAGCAGUGGAGAGUUCACCAAUUGGAUGUCAAAUCAGCAUUCCUGAAUGGUUUUCUCAAGGAGGAGAUCUUUAUCGAGCAACCUGAAGGUUUUGAAUUUGUUGGACAUGAAGACAAAGUGUAUAAGUUGAGAAAGGCCCUCUAUGGCCUGAAACAGGCACCAAGGGCCUGGUAUGACAGAGUUGAUGCCUACCUGACCAAACUUGGAUUUGCAAAGAGCCUUAGUGAGCCUACUCUAUAUGUUAAAAAGUCAGAACAUGAAACCUUGCUGAUAGUCUCCUUGUAUGUGGAUGAUUUGCUUGUGACAGGGAGCAAAAUCGAGCUCAUUGAUCAGUUCAAGGUCCAAAUGCAGCAAGUGUUUGAGAUGACAGAUUUGAGGAUCAUGACUUACUUCCUUGGCAUGGAAGUGCACCAAUCUGAUCGAGGUAUCUUCAUCAGCCAACACUCAUUUGCUUUGAAGAUUCUAGACAAAUUUUGCAUGCAUAACUGUAAAGCAGUCAGCACACCUGUGGCUCAAGGAGAAAAGCUGACUAGCAGUGGUGAUCAGCAGAGGGUUGAUGAGAGGCACUAUCGAAGCCUGGUUGGUUGUCUGUUGUAUCUAACAGCAACCAGGCCAGAUAUCAUGUUUGGUGUCAGCCUGUUAUCAAGAUUUAUGCAUUGUUGCAAUGAGGCACAUUUGAAGGCAGCAAAGAGGAUCCUUAGAUACAUCAAGGGCACUGCUAGUUUUGGUGUAAUGUUUGAAAGUCAGAACCAACUGAAAUUAGAAGGCUACUCUGACAGCGACUGGGCAGGAUCUCUCGAUGACAUGAAGAGUACCUCUGGAUACUUCUUCACACUUGGAUCGGGUAUGUUUUGCUGGAGUUCUAAGAAGCAACAAACUGUUGCUCAGUCCACAGCUGAAGCAGAGUACAUUGCUGCAGCAGGAGCAGUUAAUCAGGCCAUUUGGCUAAGAAAGCUGCUUUAUGACCUUAAUGAAACUCAAGAUGAAGCAACUGAAAUCUGGGUGGACAAUCAGUCUGCAGUUGCAAUAGCCAAGAACCCUGUGUUCCAUGGCAAGACUAAGCACUUUAAGAUCAAAUUGCAUUUUGUUAGAGAGGCUGAACAAGCAAAGGAAGUCAGCCUUGUGAAUUGCAGCUCAGGAGCACAAUUGGCUGACAUAAUGACCAAGCCCUUAGGGGCUGCUCGAUUUGAAUCUUUGAGAAGUGCAAUUGGAAUGUGUUGCAUACAGUCCAAGGAGGAGUGUUGAAAGCUGGACUGCAAUGCAACAUGGAGCCAAAAGCUUGCUACUAUCGAGACCAGCAGCUAUCGAGCUCAGCUCGUUUUGCUUGGUGCGCACGAAUGGUUUUUGAACUGAAUGAAGCAACCAACUUUGCUGUUUUGUUUUGAUGUAAUUUGAUUCAGUUCAACUUUAGUUUGUUUGUAAUGCUAGUUAAACUUAAGUUAGUGACAUGAUCUUUUGAUGUAAUGGCUGAUUGGUCAGCUAUGUUUGAUUAUUUUUGGCUAGUGAUUAGGUUUGUAUUAGUUGGGGCAGUUAAAUACAUUAGGUAACUGUCAAUGUACAAUUGUAACUCUUUUAUAUAUUUCAAGUUGAAUGAAAAAUGAGGUAUGUUCAGUCACAAACAUUGCUGAGUAUUUUGAUUUUUGAUGCUUUGCUUGCCUUGAUUCUUCUUGCUUCAGUCUUGCAAACAUUGAGUUGCAAAUUUGCUUUGAUGUUUGCUGCUGUCAUUGUUCCAACAAAAUCACAGUUUGACAGACUCAACACACGCAGGUUGGAAAGUACAAGAGAUGUGGUUUCACACCAUUUAGCACUUUGAGUAGAAAUGUCCACACUAUCCAAAUAAAGCUAUGUGAGAAACCUCAAAUUCUUGAUUAAUGUCUUGAAGUUUGGAUUCUCUAAUUUAAGAGGCUGUUGAAGUUCGUAAGGCAAUGAAAAACGGUUGUAGAAGCCAGGGUAGAGAACUUUGUAAUAUCUCAAAUAACAAGAAUCUUGAUUGGACAGAUCAAGAGAGACUAACCUUUUUAGGAAUGAGAUCUCCACUGGAAUUUGGCCAUGGAAACAUGAGCUUGAAAGGUUGAGAUGAGUUAGAUUUUGGAGUUUAUCAAACCCAUAGGAAAACAGAGUGGUAUUAAAGUUGUUUCCAGCAAGAUUAAGGCGUUGAAGACGAUGGAGAUUGAAUAUGAGGUGAAAGCUGCCUGAAAGGUUUUUGUAACUAAGAUUAAUGCCAACGACAUGACCAUAAGCAUCACAAGUGACUCCUUCCCAAGAGCAGCAAUCAGUGUUGGGGUGCCAAAGCUCAAAUUUGGAAGAGAAAGUAAAAUGAGGGGCAUAGAAAAGAUGAUGUUGCAAUUGCAGCAGAGGAGAUCUCUGGUCAUCAAGGCAUUGCAUUGGGAGAUGAGUUUGAGGAGGUGAAAAAGACAAGAGAAGAGGAAGGAAGCAUGAGAAGAGAAAGAGUGAAGAAAUAAGGGAAUGAAGAGUGUUCAUGUUGGGUGGGUGUGAAGGACGAUUGUGCUUGGCAUACAACUUAUUUAUGAGUGAUUGGCAUUGCAUGCAAUUUCUGAGUCAUUUUGCCAAAUCAAGACUCCAUCAAAAUACUGUUCCACCAAUUUAGUUAAGUCUUUUUGGUCAAUUUUUUCCAACAUAGGAUAAUAAUUUAUUAUUUAAAGCUGUUAGUGAUGAUGCAUAAAUUAUUUAUUGUUAGUAUUAGAGAUAAGUUGUUAAAUUCACACUUAAUUUACUUUAUGUCUUUCCUUUUUGUUAAUUUUAAUUUUGAAGAAUGAGAUUUUAAUAUUUUAUGGAUCUCAUUAAAUUAUUAAUGCCAAGGUUGUAGUUUUCUUGCCCACUCCUUACUCUAUAUAAAUAAUCAUCUAAAUCUAAGUUAUUAAAAAAGACUAAAUUAUAGCACUUUAAACCCUAUUAGAACCAUUACUACGCAUAGGAUGAGCAAAUAUGAUAAUUCAACUGAUAUUUUGAGUUUAAAUUAUAUAUUUUAGGUAUCGACUUUUUAGCACAAAAAAUCCAUGUUACAAAUAUUUUAACUUUAAUUUAUUUUAAACUCAGGUAAAUUUUAUCAUUUUUAUGUUAUAUAUAAUUAUUUCUACAACAUUUAAUUUUUUUUUAAAUAAAAAAAUUACAAUUUAAUUUUUUAAGUAAACUAUGUUAUAGCACCAAAAAUAUAAAUUUUAACUUAUAAUAUAAAAUCAAUUUUUUAAGAUGAAAAGAUCACUUUUGAAGGGACAUGGACGGAAGCGUCAGUCCUGUAGUACGGAGAAACGAUAAAUAUUUGUUGAGAAGGCUAAAUGCGGAUUCUAAGCCUCAUGAGCCCUUUUUGGGAAUCUCGACAACAUUUGGCUAAAUGAAUUUAAUGGCUCAUGCUUUUUGGGGAAAAAUAAAUAAACUUAAUAAAAAUGAAAUUUUAUUGAAUAAAUGAAAGAAACAAAUGCUAAAGCUUUUUGGGAGAGAGAGCUUUUACAGAAAAGAUGAGUUAAAUCUGUGUCACUCCAUCCCCUAUUUAUAGUACUCAAAAGACCUAGUUUAUUCCUUUCUAAAUUCUAAAAGAUAAAUAAAGAUAAAAGCUAGAAUUAAAUCUAAAUAAUAAUCUUAACAAUAAUCCUAAUAUAAUUAAAAUUCAAAUAGAGUCUUGUGUUUAUAAAAUCUCUUCUUUGAACUAUUGCCCCCAAGUCUUCCACACUUUGCAUUUUCGGCACCAUUUCUUUCCUAUUUUGCAUCCUGACCCAUUUUAUCUUCAAAUUCAUGAUUUUUGCCCCUAAAUUUUAUUUUUCCUUCAAUUUAGUCCCUACAAUAUAAAAACCAUAAAUAGCUCAAUUUAGUAGGAUCAUACUCAAAAUAAAAUAUAUAAGUAAUUAAUACAUAAAGAUAUGUCAUUCCAGAGUAUUAUCAACAACGUUCAACCAUUGUGUACAAAUCAAGUCACAUUAUAAAGACAAAAUUAUAGUAAGUUUCUUAGUUGGAUGAGUGGAAAUUUUGAUGAUACAAUAUAUACAACUUUUCACUUUUGAAAGAAACAUUUUUAAAUUUCGGCUUUCAAACUUUCUUAGACUGUAUUUGGAGGAGAAAUUUGGAGAAAAAAUUUCAUUUCUAUAUUAUUAUUUAAUUUUAAUAUUUCUUAUGUUUUAUAUUAUUAAAAAUAUUUAUAAUUUAAUUUCGAGUUGUAUUUUACAAUUUAAAUAACUCGAAUAAUUCAAACAAAAAAUUGGUGUACAUGCUCCUUUGGUCCUUGUCAAUUUUAAAAUUUAACAACUUGAUCUCUCUCAACCAAAAUUACAAAAUAAUUUAAAAUAAUUUUCAAAAUAUUCAAAAUAAUUUUUAAAAUUCAAAAUAUUCAUAAAAAUUCCAAAAUUUUAUAUUUUUAAAAAUUAAAAUAUUUUUUUUUAUUUUUCAUUUUUGGGGGAGAUGAGAUUGAGAAAGAGAGGAUGAGAAGAGAAAGAAGAAAGGUAGAAAAGGUGAAACAAGGAAAUGGAGUCUCAUGUUGGUUGGGUAUGAAGAAAGAUUAUUUUCAUGCAACAUUUUAUACAUAAAUUUGUAGUUUCCAUAAAACAUUAUCUUUUUACUUAAUAAUUAAUUCCAAUGCAUAUCAUUAUUUACAAAAGUAAAGGUAAUAUGGAAAUUUUUUGAAAUAUUUUAAUUAAAUCCUUAAGUUAAUUAUGAUGAUUCAAUGUGCAAACUAUUUAAAUUUUGGUUAAAAUAUGUUGUUAGUUCUUGUAUUUUGGUCAAAUUUAAGAUUUAGUUCAUAUAUUUAAAAAGUUAAAAAUCUCAGUGCAAUCAUUAAAUCGCAAGUAUUUUUUGUAAAACUUGUCAACUUGAAAUUUUGAUUAAUGUGUCAUCUUAUGGCGUGACAUAUGAUUGAUGAAAAUAAACAUAUUAAACUGAUAAAUUUUGACAAAAACUAUCAACGAUGAUAAUGGCUUGAUUAUGAUUUUUAAAUUGAAAAAGUAGAAGAAUUGAAUUUUUAACUUUUAAAGUAUAGGGAUCAAAUAUUAAAAUUAAAAAUUAAAAAAAUAUGUUAAUUUUUUAAAAAAAUACAUAAAAUUGGAGUAAAAUGUUUGACAGGCGUGUGGAAAUAUUGCAGCCUAUUGCCCUAUUGUUGCUUUAUGCAAUUAAUCUUUUAUUGGCCAAAGUAAUUCCAAUUUCCAAUUAUAUAAUGGUAACCACUAAAAGCAAAAGUAGUGGGAAACAUCCACCAAAUCAACAAAGAGAAACUGCAAAAUCAUUGAUUUCAAACCCAUUUAAUUUCCAUGAAUCUUCCCCAUAUAUUAAAGUCAUCCUAAAUUACAAUUUUAAAAUUUUUCAUACUCUCUUCUUAGUCUUCAUAUCAAUUUCUUCAUGUUUCACACUUAUUUUGCUUUACCAAUGUCUUUUUUGUUUUUCCAUUUGUUAAUUCCAAUUUUGAGCAUGAUAUUUGAUUGGAAUUUGUUGGGUUGUUUUCUAGUCACCAUCAGCCCGACUUUAGGGUAGUUUGGGAAUGUGGCCGUUUAGGGCUCUAAAAAUUUCUUUUUUUGAUACAAUGCCUAAAACUACCCAGUCUCUCCCCAAUCCAUAAAUAGGAGGAUAAUGCACUUCGGCGUACUCGAACCCACGUCCUUCUGUUAAAAUAAAAAUUUAAGUAAAAUUAUAAAACUAAUCCCUACAAUUUUUGUUUUGAAUGAAUUUAAUUCUUUUGGCUUUUAUUUCUACCGGGGAUAGUUUCGUUGAAGUAAAUGAUUUCUUCUCUUAGCUAAGUAAUUUUCUCUCGCAUUAUGAGUACUUCAUAUUUGCUUCUUUAAAUUCAAACCAGAGUCAUAUCACAGCAAAGGAUGAUGAUGAAGCUAUUAGUCUUAAUGGAUGAAUUAUUUAUUCUUAGUCUUAGCAUUAAGGUUUUCAAUUCACAUUUAAUUUGCUUUUGCAUCUUCAAUUUUUUAUAUAUAAUUUUUUUUCAAUUCUAAUUUUGAAAUAUGAGAUUUUUUUGGUCUUAGUGUUCUUAUUGAUGCCAAUAUUUUAGUCUUUCUGUCUCAUCCUUAUUCUAUAUAUAUAUGAAAAUUUUCUUAUAUCUAAAUUAUUAAAAAGACAAAAUAGUAGCAAUAAUAACAUAAAACCUUGUUGGAGUCAUCACCACGCAGAGAAUGAACUGUGUCACCACUCCUGCUGGUUAAAUUAAGGAAUUGCAAGGCUGUAUGAUCCACAGGAAAGACAACCCAUGGUUGCACAUUAUUCAGGUCCCAUGUCUGCAACUAUGGCUCGACCAUGAUUAGCUAAAGAUAAUUCAACCACACCCUCUCCUAUAACCACAUUAAAAAUAGUUACAUUGAUGAUAAAGUCCUAUAAACCUGAAAUUUUUUAUAGUAAAAUCAUUCUAUUCUUAAGAUUUAUGAUCAUAGACUUAACCAUAAAACUAAAAAAUUUUUGCCAACGCUAUGCUUUCUCAACAUCUUGUAAGUUCUUGGACGAUGUGAAUCUACCAACACCAAGCUAUACCAUGCUCAGGGGCUGCAUAAAUUGCAAGAUAUAGAAGUAAAUAAGUUAUAUACUCCUGGUAAAAUAUAGAGGGAAAAUUACAAACUAGUGGAUUAAUCUUGUUAAGAUCAUUGUCAAGAUUCUUAACAGUGUCUCACAUGCCAGUGAGGUCAACUGCUGGUGGCACUCCAGUGUAAUUCUAAGAUAAUAAGAUUUCAUGCAAAUUACAUUUAGAGAACAUGAGCCACCUUAAACAAGAUGCAGACUUGCUUCGGUGAUAAGCCUUUGCACCUUAUGCAUAUCCAAUCUGUACUUUAUGUUGGCAAUGCACGUUUUCUUUUCCAUAGAAUAGAUAACAAACUGCAAUCAACACGCCUUACUGUCUUCUUAGACCAUGAGCCUGAAAAUUAGAACAUGAAGCUUCUCAUUUAUCUACCAACAAGUAUGUCUUUCAUAUGCUUAAACUUAAUUCAAGCAUGAUUAAAGAAGAUGUCAAGGAAAAGAUAAUUAGUUAGAAACUUUUACCAUUGUUUUCAAAGAUAAAGUUAACGAUCUUUGCUUGAGCUUGUCCUGUUUCAAAGAGGCACAUCUAGCAGUGGUGUCUCUUUGCAGAAUCACUCUGUUAAAUGUGGCUUUCAUCAGCAUCAACUCAUCAUAUUAUCUUCCAAGCUGCACAAAAAUAAUUUGAAAAUAAAAUUCUGAACUAAAGAGUAAAUUCAUAUUAAAGAAGGCUUGGAAAAGCCAUGAUCCUUGUUUAUAAUAUAGCAUUAUUGGCAUGAAAGUUCAAUGCUAGAGACAAAUUACGUACCCCUAAUGGCUCUGAAUUGAAGCAAAAAAGAACCUCACAAGGGAGUUGUUGUUCCAAUAGGGUCGGAAGCGUGUAAAUUAUUGUACUAAAAAAUCACACAAAGUUCAAUUCCCAGGGAAGAGAGGUGGAUCACAAGGAUCUCUUAAAUACCAAGUCUUUCCUUAGACAGAAUAUCCCUUCUAUAGUAAUUUAAUAGCACAAUUAAAUACUACUAUUAUACCCUCAAAUAUUGAAAGAAAAAUAGGACAAGAAAAAACACAAGAGUUUUAACGAGGUUCGGUAAAUUAUACCUACGUCCUCGAGCACUAACACCAGAUGAUAACUUUACUAUCUUCAAAGUAUUACAAACAAAUAGAAUUCCUUAAGAAUUCUCAAAUGAGAGAAGAGAGAAAACUAAGAGAGAAAGAUUGGUUGGGAUGAAUUGAAAUGAGAAAUGAGAAGGCCUAUUUAUAGUUGAGGUUUAAGGACCAAACAAUAAAUAGCCCAUUAUCUCAAGGACCAAAAAAAAAUUAUCCCAUGCCACUUUUUCAAAGUCAACUUUAGGGUGCUAAACUUGCACCACUUUGUAUUGUUUGCCAUUAAUGUUGUCUCCCAUUAAUGUUAACAGGAGUUUCUUGAUAUUAGAUUUUGCAUAUCAAGUAUGCUGCUCAUGUUCAACUCACAAUAUUCAUAGAGCAUUCCAAAACUCAUCCUUACCAUAAAUGAGUUCGAUUAAAUUAAAGAAGAUUGAUAGUCAAGACAUUGGGGAGUUUUGCCCCUGCUACAAAAUCGAGAGAGAAAAAAAAAACAAUUUCAGUAUCUGGAUUUAAGAAUUAUGGAUUAGUUGCUCUAACAGAGGAAUGCUUCCUAGGAAAUAAGUUAUAGAAAGGAUUUACAUGAAUCGUAUAGAAGUGAGUAUAUGUAAGUGCAUCAUCACAAACAGCCAAGGACCCUUUUGUCGCUUCUUUCAUUGCUCUUUUCGAAGAGUCUUUUGGAGUUGCAAACCUAAUCCGGCAUUGCGAAAUGAUAAAAUGAAUGUCAAUGCUACAAGCCUACGACUACAAAUACCAUAUGAUAGUGAAGUGUGUCAAGGGACAAAAAAUAAGCUUAGGAAAUUCAGAAUUAGUUUGUAACAUCAAUCUUUUCAAAAUAUAAGCCAACGACUACAAAUACCAUAAGAUUUUGAAUAAUUUGUGAAAGAUAAUGGUUCUUGCAGUUUUUUAAUUUUAGUUAUUAAUAUUUUUAUCACUUUUCAAAGAUAAAUUAAACAAGUGCUUUAGGUUGUUUGCCAACUCUGGAAAGCACACCACAUUGUAAUUAAGACAUCAUUUCGAAUGCCAAAUUGGAUUGAGUCCCUUACUUUAUAUCCACUACUCUGCAUUCGCAUUCAAAUAUAAACUGGCUUUUUAUUGGUUGAAUUGGAUUCGAUAUAUAAACAAUCAAUUUUUUCUUGAAAAAAUCAUUUAAUUGAACAUUGUAAGUAUUAGUUAACUCAACAGUGUCCGAUUAAUUAUCUGAUUUUGUAUUGAAAAUCAUAUAAUAAACAUAUCGUUGUUAAAUAGAUGGGUUUGGAUUUAUUUUUUUCAUUAUCCAAUCCAAGUGUUCUAAUUGAUGCCAAUGCCAAUGUUUCGGACGCUUAAAAUAUUUGGGUUUAGAUUUUUUUUUUCAUGUAUUUGAUGCUUAAAAUAUUUUAGAUGCGGGCCGUCUCGAUUUUAUAUCAUAAUUGUUUAUAUAUAAUUUAAAUUUUUAAAAUGUAAAAGUGUACCAUUAAAAUCUUUUAAUUAAACUUUGGUAUAGCACCCAAAAAUAUAUUAACUUAUAUGUGAAAUCAAUUUACCAAUAAGCAUUUUAGUCCUAAUUUAUUAAUGAGUAUGCAACUUAUGAAUAUGUUAGGAUUUAUCAAAGGGUUAAUUCACUUGAUGUCCCUAAACUAUGGAUUAUAUGUUAAAUUGAACUCUAAACUUCAAAAAAAUAUAAAGCCCAACACAUGAUUGAUAAAAUAUAAAGCUAAUGUCUCUUUGGAAAAGCAAAGGGUGGAAGUAGCAGCGUAUGCGUCUUUUUACACAAUCAGCCCAAUGUCCAUCAGAUUAGGCUUUCAUCAGCAUCAAGCCAUCAAAUCUCCUCAGCUGUUAGGAUCAUUGUUAGGAUCACUGCCUAGAUUCUUCAUGUACCUCAUAACUGUUCAUUCCAUGUCUUGGAUCAAGUACCUAUGCACUUCAACAAGGUAAAUUUGUCAUUGCUACAAGAACAAAUACAAUAUGAUAUGAUAGUGAACUUUGUCAAUAUAUAUUAAGAGAAAAAAUGCUUGUAGUCAUUGUCGAAACCUUUUUGGAAUAAAAUAUAACACACUAAAAAUGAUAGGGACCGAAUAUGAAAAUAUCCCUUGUCCUUAUGCGCACCGUUUCUCAAGGACUAAAAUGAAAUAAAAUUAAAAUUUUGUGGUAAAAAUAACAUAAAACCCAGACCAACAGGUCCACCCUUUACAUCCAAAUGAGCAUUUUGAGCACUAAUUUAUUAAUGAGUAUGGAACUUAUGAAUAUGUUAGGAUUUACCAAAGGGAUAAUUCCUUAAAUUAUGGAUUAAAUUUUAAAUUGAUUUUUAAAUUUUAAAAAAAAUUAAUUAAGUCCUCAUACUAUAAAUCACAUUCUCAUUUGAAAUUUUUAAUUUUGGACUAAAAAAAGAGAAUAUUAGUGUGAGAUAUUGUUGGCCUUUGGCUAACAUUGGAAAGCAUACUAGAUUAAUUUUAAGACAUAAUUUAUUUCAUUAAAUUUUAAUUAUUUUUAUUUUUAUCAUAUUAUUACUUAAUUCAACAAUAUUUUUUAAAUUAAUUUAAUUUUUUAAAUUAAUAAACUAUCAUUGAAAAGAUAAUUAAUUAAACCACUUAUUUUAUUAUUUGAAAGGUCGAGAAAUUGUAAAUUUUUUUGACUCUUUAAGAACUCUAGAAACGCACUUAUGUUACAGGAUCCCAGAUACAAUCGCCUCAACAUUGGGAAAGAGAAGUUUGCAUCACUUAAGGGAAGUUGUUUUGGAAAAUCAAUCAUAUUGAAAGAAAGGUAUACCUGUGAAAGAGUGCUCUUCCACAACCAAUUAGGCACAACACCAUGGAUAUGGUUGUUAGAAAGAUCCAGAGAAAUCAACUUGUCUUGUGUUUUGAUGAAUUCUGGAAAUUCAGUAAGGUUGCAUGAACUUAGCCUUGGGCUUUCUAAUAGGGGAAAACUAAGACUUAUGUUGUCACUUUCAAUUAAGAAGCUUAUAUGUUUGCUUUCAAUUUAAAACCAUUUAUUAUGUUGAUUAAAUCAUAGUAUUAAUUGUUAUUCAAAUUUAAAAUAAAGAAAUUAUCUUAAAUUUAAAAAGUAAAGUAGUUAAUUGAUUCCAAAAGUCUAGUCCAUUAUUUAUAAAACAAAAAAAAAAUAUUUCUCAAGGUAUCUAGUCAGUAAGUAAAUAUUUGCAUUUUGUAAGCCCAUUUAAAGAGUAGAUGCCACGAGUUUUAAAGUUGCUUCAUACUUAAGGCGAGGAUCAAACCCUCGACAUUACUAUAAAUCAUAUUAAUUAUGAUAUUUUCGUCAUUUUGCUUCAUCUUUAUUCUGUAUGAAUAAUAUUCCAGUAUUUCAAUUGAUUUGCCUCAAACUAUGAAUCAGAUCUAAAUUAGUAUCUAAACUUUAAACUAUUCUAAUUAAGUGUUGAAACUAUGAUUAAUAGUUUGAGAGAUUAGUCAUGCAAGCAAAUGUUCAAGUCUUUUGCCUCCUCAUUACUGCAUGAGUUGAACUACUUCGUUUAUAUCAAGUCAUUAAAAAGCAAAUAUAAAUAUUAUUGUCCUUAAUGCAUGCAGAUGCAAUUGUUGAGGUCCUUUUGCGAUAUCAGUAAUGCAUGAAAAUUAUGAUCAACCACUUUGUUGAAGUCUUAUUCUCCUUAUUAAUGCUAAUGUUUCAGUCUUUUUAAGUCUAAGCAUUAUUAUUAAAGUCCAAAACAAAUAAUCAUAUGUUGAAAUAUGUUCAAUAUUUAAAUUUAGUACAUAAAAAUUUAAAAGAAAUCAAAUAAUAGAUUAGAUAUUAAAAUUUGUUGAGUCAAGUUUUUGGAUAUUGCUUAUAGGAAGUAGUCACUUCUAUAACCCUCGCAACAAUUUUAUACUCAUCAUAUUUGAUGUUCGCGAUUUAUUGAUAUAAAAUUUUUAGACAUUAAAUGGUGUUAUUAUUCUAAAUAUAUGCAAGCUCGACUUUGAAAUCCAACUUAUUUUAAACAUCUUCCCUUUUUUGUUGUGGAGAAUGGACCGUGAUUACAUUGAAAAUACCAUUGAAGAAUGAUAAUUAAAAUAAUCAUAUUUUAUACUAUAAAAUAUUUAUUAUUGAAUAUUUAUAAAAUAUAUAUAUUUUUCUCAUUAAAAUAUCAAUAUAAAUAUUUUUUAAUAAUAUAUUAAGAAUAUUAUUUAAAAUUAAAUUAAACUAUUAAAAUUUAUUAAUAAAAUAAAAUUAUAAUAUUAAAAUUAAAAAUACAUUACUAAUAUAAUUAUAUUAAACUUGAUUCAAGUUAGUUUUUAUAUAAAAAUAAAAAUAUUCAUAAAUAAGCUUAGUUCGAUAAAUUAAUUAUGUUUUUCAAAAAGACAAAUUAAUUUACAGAAAAAUGAUAUUAUUUAAAUUUCCAUACUAAAAUACUUUUAAAUUUAAUUAAAAUUAUCAAAGACUAAUGAGAUUCACAAAAUGUCUCAUAUUAUUUAACAACUUCUCAAUUUUUUGAAAAAAUCAAUUUCAUUCUCUCUCUUUUUUUUUCAAAAUUUAUCAACCCUUGAAACACAAAAAAUUUAAUAUUUUUAAUUUUUGACUGACAAAAAAAAUGAUGCUAUGAGAUAUUUUUUAUAUUAUUAGACCUAAUCUUAAUCUUUGGUAUUCCAUGCAAAUGUCUAAAUCUUCUUAGGGAGAUGGAUCGAUGGACAUAAGUAGUGGAAAUUUUGAUGAUACAAUUCUUCUCUUCUUAACAAUUUCUUUCAAAGAAAUAUAUUUAAAUUUCCACACCAAAACUUCUUUAGAUUUAAUUUAAAGGAAUAAAUCCUAAAAUUAUAAAGUAUGGAUUAAUGUGUAAUUGUAUACAGGAAUUUGAAUUUUGUGCAAUGUUAUACAUGAAAUUUUGAUUUGAUCCAAUUCUUAUAAUUUAUCAACACAAUUAUUGAUAUAAAAUCAUUUUAUGUUUAUAUAUUAUAUACAUAAAUAAUUAUAUUUAUCCAAUAUAAAAAUAAAUUGAUGUAUUUAUUUCAUUAAAUGCGUAUGAUUAAAUCAAAAUUAAAGUUCAAAGUAUAUAUUUGAACCACAAUUAGAGUUCCACGUGUAUAAUUACUCCAAACAAAAGUUCAUAUAUACAAUUACACAUUAAAUUAAAGUUGAUAUGUAAUUUUGAGAUUUAUUCCUAUUUGAAAUUAUCAAAGACAAAUGAGAUUAACGAGAUGUAUUAUAUUAUAAACAAAGUUUCAAUUCUUUGAGAAAGUUAAGCUCCAAUUUCAAAAGUUUUUUUUCAAAGUUUAUCAAAUGAAUUCAAAUUUUAAAUCUAAAAUAUGGAUUUUUUUUUAUCUUUUUUAAAUCUAAUGUCAGUUCCAAUUUUCUAGUGUUUUAGAUUGUUUACUAAACUAAAAAGCAAACCACAUUGUAAGGCAUCAUUUCUUUCAUUAUAUAUAUUUUUUUUUACGUAGACACCAAAUUUCAUCGGGAUACAAAUCAGCAUUUUGUGAUAAACUCAAUUUAACUCAACUUUAAUUGUAGCAAAGCUUCUAACCGGGGGCUCUUUUUCCACCAUUUUUCUUCAACACAUUCGGCUCCCAGCUCUCUGGAGGCAUCCUCCAUCACUGAACAUUCUUCACUCACCUUCAUCAUUGCCACCACCAACCACAUCAGCAUCAACAUCAUCAUCUUCAUCUUCAUGGAUACGAUUUCUAUAUCAUUGCACAACGUUUAAAGAACUUCGAUCCUAAAAAGGAUACUUCUAAAUUCAACCUUGUUGAUCCACCUGUGAGGAACGCAGUUGGAGUGCCUGUGAAUGGAUGGGCAACCAUUAGAGUCGUCGCUGAUAAUCCAGGUAAACACCCUUCUUCAUCAUUUCAAUUACUGUGAUUCCAUUACCAUUUUUUUUGUUAUUAGUAUUUUUCUUAAUCAUUUUCAUAGUAUUGUGGCAUACCAAUUCUUCCCUGCAUCUGGGAAACUAGUUUAAUGCUCUGUUUCAUUGGAUAAAUUUCCCUAAAAAGUAUGUGCACAUUGUAAUACUAGUGUGAGAUAGUGUUGGCCUUUGGCUAACAUUGGAAAACAUACUAGAUUGUAACACUAAAAUUCUGAUGGAGUCACCUACACCUUACCUUAAACAUGAUAUGCUGGCAAUAAUGGUGAACGUUGUGAACAUGACAUAGUAAACAGGACAUACAACAGUAGUAUUAAAAGUGUCUAAAGCAUGCAAAAUUGUAAGCUUUUAGUAGCAUCAAGAAUAAUAACUUAAAUUUAGAGUCAAUCAUCAUAUUAAAUCAAGAAUAUAAGGUUGAAAGAAAUUAUUUUUAAAAAAAACACAUUUAUGCUUUUUUAUCCUAUAAGCAAUUUAAUAAUGAACAAAUUGAUCUCUCAACAAAAAUUACAAAAUAUUUCAAAAUAAUUUUUAAAAUUCAAAAUAUUUAUAAAAAUUUUAAAUUAUAUAUAUUUUUUCAAUUGUAAGAAUUUUUUUAUUAUUUUGUUUUGAAAAAGUUUUCAAAUGUAUAUAGUUUUAAAUUUAUGUGCUCUAACAUUGAAUUAAUUAUCUUAUAACAAGAUUUUAAUUUGACAUAUUUAAUUUUUUAAUUGAACUUGAAUAAUUUCACUUGAUUCAAUUUGACUCAAAUUUCAUUUCACUCGACUCAAUUUGAAAAAAUGUCAAAUCAAGUUAGGAUGAUAAAUAGGACUCAUCAGUUCAAUUAACUCAAAAAUUUUUCACUUGAUUCGAUUAAACACUCAUAAAAAUCAUCAAAAAUAAAUGAGACAGAGAUAAUUUGCUGAAGGAUAAGAUGAAAUGUGUUUUAGAAAUUAACAUUUUUUUUCUUUCGCAUGCAAGCUAAUGUUCAAGUCUUUUUACCCAAUAAUGAGUACUCCUAAAUCCUAAUUAUUAAGUAGUAUCCAACUUAUAAAUAUGUUAUGAUCCACCAACGGGUUUAAUUAAAUCCAACACCCCAAAUUAUGGGCUCAACUCUAAAUUCAAGAUUUGGCAUUGCAUGUAAAUGUCUAAGUCUUUGCCCGAUCCUUACUAUAUGAAAACAAUGGUUUACCACUUUGUUUAAGUCAAGUCAUUAUAAACACAAAAAUAAAGCAUAUGUGUUAGCUGGUUGAGAUGGAUUGAUGGGAAUAUGGAGUGGAAAUUAUGAUAACCGCACAAUUUCUGCGAAACUUCGAUUGGUACAAAAUAAGUGCGAGGCUGUACCAAAACCCAACAUGUGUUUGAUAAAAUAAAAACCCCAUGUGUCAGCAAACGGUGGGAGUAGCAGCAUGCAGCUGUCUCUUUACACAAUCAGAACAAUGUCCAUCAGAUAUGGCUUUCAUGUUUGCUGGCUGUGAAGGAGGUUGUUUCCAUACAACUUAUUUAUACACAAAUUAGUACUUUCCAUACAUUAUUUUUAAUUUUGGACUAAGCCCGAUCACUAUUGCAUGAAAAUAAUGUUGUACCACUAAUUUUAUUUUAGUCAAUUAAUAAAAAAAAAUGGAAUUGUGGUGAUUUUUUUUAGCUGGUUGAGAUAAAUUGAUGGCUCAAAAACUAAAUUUUCUCAUAACUUUGAUGACUUUUCAAUGAACUUAAAGUGUAUGGAAUCAAUAGAAAUUUAUGGAAUGAGAUAUUAUUGGACUUAGUCUCAGCCUUUUGGCACUGCAUGCAAAUGUCUAAAUCUUUUUUACCCCAUGAAAACAAUGUUUAGCAAGUUUCUUAGGUAGUUGAGAUGGAUUGAUGGGCACAAGUAGCAGAAAUUUUGAUGAUAAAAUGUUUACAGUUUUUCUCUUCUUAGGCGCAAUUUCUUUGAAAGAAACAUAUUUAAAUUUUCACAUUAAAAUUUCUAUAGAUUUAAUUGAAAUUAUCAAAGACAAAUGAGACUGGCAAGAUAUCUUAUAUUAUUAACAAUUUUUCGAUUCUUUGAAAAAAUUAAUUUCAAUUUCAAAAGUUUUUUGAAAUUAAUAAAACUAUCAUUGAAAGGAUAAACAAACUAGUAUAAAAAUAAGUGUCCGGCUGAACUAAAACUCAGACCAACAGGUCCACCCUUUACACCCGGUCCUAAAGCCCAACACGUGAUUGAUAAAAUAUAAAGCUAAUAUCUGUUUGGAAGAGCAAAGGAUGAGAGUAGCAGCAUCUGCGUCUCUUUACACAAUCCGUCCAAUGUCCAUCAGAUAUGGCUUCCAUCAACAUCAUGCCAUUAAAUCUCCUCAGCUGUACAAAUAUUCUGAAGAUAAAAUAAUUGAAGUAAAAGUAAAUUGCAUAUAAAAGAAAGCUUGGGCAGCCAUUUCCUUGUUUAUAAUAUCAUUAUUAGCAUGGAAAUUCAGUAGCAGUGAAACAUUGCAUCCCCCAAAUCCACAGGGACCUGGAUGCAAAAUGAAUAAACACUUAUUUAUACUCAUGGAAAACUACAACAGGAAAAAAGUGCAUAUAAAGCAAAAUUACAAACCAGUGGAUUGAUCUUGUUAGGACCAUUGCCUACAUUCGUCAUGAACCUCACAACUGUACAUUCCAUGUCCUGCUUCAAGUACCUCCUGCAUUGCUCAAUGGUAACAUCAAAUUACAAGUACGAUAUAAUAGUGAACUUGGUAAAGACAGCAAAAAAUGAGGUUAUAUAUAUAUAUAUAUAUCAACUAUCUGUUCAAAUUAGAAAGACAAAUGCUUACCAGCUAAUUUUGAAGAAAGAAUUCUGAUGGAGUCACCUAUAUCUUCUGCUAUUUCUUUUCCCACACUUUUUGAACUUGUCCACCCAUUUGUUUCCCAACUCAUUCAGCACUGUAUAUCCAAUACAUAGCCCAACGACUAAUCCACUAGCAUAACCUAUCAACGCAAUUUUCCAAGUAGACAGAGCAUUUAACCAUGAAUCUUCACCUUCCCCUGGAGGUGGUGGCAUUGGAAGACUAACUUCAUUGCAUUUCCUUGACAAUGGCAGCCCACACAAUUUUGGGUUCCCACGGUAGGAAUCAUUUGUAAAUGUAAUGAAUUGGUUGCUUUGUGGUAUGCUCCCUUCAAGUUGGUUGCAUGACAAGUUCAAUGCUGCCAGGAAAGUUAAACUUGUAAGUUGUGCAGGAAUCUUCCCUGACAGCUCAUUCUGUGAGAGAUCCAAAGAUUCAAGAUCUUUUAGAUUUUCAAGUGCUAAUGGGAUUUCACCAGAAAAGCCAUUGUUGGAUAAGUUUAUCACUCUGAGUGACCUCAGCAUUUGUAUCUCUUCUGGUAUUCUCCCAUGGAAACUAUUGUUGGAAAGGUCAAGACAAGUAAGAAUUGUCAAGACUUUUUGGUACAACAUUUCAAUCCCUCUGUUAACAAUUGUCACAGAGUCUUGAUAAUAAUUCUCUCCGAUAUAAUCCAGCGUAGCCUUUUCAUCAUUAGUCAUCUCCGCCAUUGCCUUCAAACUCUGCAAAAAUUCAAUAGACAAGUCACCUGAAAAAUUGUUGGAAGCAAUGUCCAAUAUGCGUAGCUUUGGAAACCCACGUUUCGUGUCAAUUUUUGAAAUUGUGCCGUAGAAUCUGUUUGCUCGCAAAACGAGAACCUUCAAGGAAGGUAGCUUCUCUAACCAAAAUGGGAAUGUAUCAUGAACCAUAUUAUUUCCAAGGUCCAGAACCUCAAGUGCUGUGCAAUUGGCUAAUGAUCUCGACAGCUUCCCUUCCAAUUUAUUCCCACCUAUUUUGAGUGACCUUAGUCGAGUGGGUUGAAGGAAAUCAAUGGAUAGUUCACCAGAAAACUGGUUUGAAGCAAUGUCCAAUACAUCCAAAGUUGGGAAAACAGAUUUAUGUUUGAAAUGUUUAAUUUGACCAUAAAAUCUGUUUUCCCGCAAUAUUAGAACCGUCAAGUAAGGCAAUUUCUCCAACCAAAAAGGGAAUGUAUCAUUCAUCUUGUUGCUUCCCACGUCCAAAACUUCAAGCUGAGUGCAUUCAGCUAAUGAUCUGGGCAACUUUCCUUCCAAUCUAUUCUCACUAACUUUGAGAAACGACAGUUGGGUUGCUUUUGAAAAUUUUGGCAUCAUUCCACUGAAGUUAUUUCCUUGCAGAUCCAACGAAUAGAGAGCACUCAUAUUGCCCAAGCAAUUCGGAAUUGGGCCACUCAAACUGUUAUAAGAUACAUCAAAACGGCCGAGUCGACUCAUUUUGCAUAACCAAUUUGGAAUUGGGCCACUCAAAUUGUUAGAAGAUGCGUCGAAACUGAAAGGCCCCUGUGAAAAAUUUGAACUCUGAUUGGGUAGAAGUUGUUCCAAAGACGAGAGAUGGUUAUUAGCAAGAUACAGAUACCGCAAACUUUUCUUCCACACCCAGUUUGGAAUUGCACCACUUAUUUUAUUAUUUGAAAGUUCGAGAUAUUCCAAAUUUUCUUGACUCUUUAAGAACUCUGGAAAUGAGCUUAUGUUACAAGAUUCCAGAUACAAUUCCCUCAACAUUGAAAAAGAGAAGUUUAAAUCACUUAAGGGAAGCUGUUUUGGAAAAUCAAUCACAUUGAAAGAAAGGUUUACCCUUAAAAGAGUGCUAUUCCACAACCAAUUAGGCACAACACCAUGGAUAUGGUUGUUAGAAAGAUCUAACACAACCAACUUGUCUUGUGUUUUGAUGAACUCUGGAAACGCACUUAUGUUACAAGACCUCAAAUGCAAUACUUUCAACAUUGGAAAUGAGAAGUUAGCAUCAUUUAAGGGAAGCUGUUUUGGAAAAUCAAUCAUAUUGAAAGAAAGGUCUACCCAUGAAAGACUGCUCUUCCACAACAAAUUGGGCACAACACCAUGGAUAUGAUUGCUAGAAAGAUAUAAGUCAACCAACUUGUCUUGCCUUUUAAUGAAUUCUGGAAAUUCAGUAAGGUUGCAUGACUUUAGCCCUAGGCUCUCUAAUUGGGGAAAAGUAAGACUUCCGUUGUCGCUGUCAAUUAACAAGCUUACGUUGGAUAAGUAGAGACCCUUUAAGUUCUUGAGUUGGACAAACAUGUCAAGCUUCAUGGAACUGAAGCUAUUGUCUCGGAUAUAAAGCCAUUCAAGCCUUGGAAGUUGAAGGAUUGAUUUUGGGAUUGUUCCUUUUAAAUAAUUAUUGCCUAUAUAUAAUUCUUGAAUCAAAGAAGAAGAUGCAUUGGGGAACUCAUCAAUUUUCCCAACCAAUUGAUUUUCUCCAAGAUACAAGAUCUUCAACGAUGGAAGAGUAAAUAAAGAAGAAUGUAUUGAUCCAGAAAGCUUGUUCCCUCCUAGAUAUAGGUUGACCAGGUGACUAAGAUUUGCAAUUGACGAUGGAAUGGGUCCAAAAAAAUUGCAAUCAUCAAGCUCUAAAUUUGUCAGGAACUUGAGGUUACCAAUUGAUUGGGGUAGUUUUUCACUGAAAUUUGUAUAAGAAAGCGACAAACUCUGUAAAGAAUUGUUUGAUGAAAAUUCUGGCAACUGACCCAUAAGUUGGUCAUUAUCUGAAAUGUCAAUGCUUUGCAUUUUUGGCGAUAAGAGAUUUUCAGUUGGAAAAUGGCCACUCAAAUUGCAGUUCCUCUGUUGGUGCAAGAGGCAGCAGCAAGCUGUUUCUAGUCUUGCUUGAGUAGUAAGGCUCGAGGCUUGGUGAAGAAGCAAACUCGGAAGCAAUAAAAAACAGAAAGAUGAAGCUAGCAAGUGAAAACAGAAAAGAGAGAAAGAGAUUGAAUGAAAAUGAGCUGAUAUUUUUCAUUAACACAUGAACAAGGCAUUAAGCCAUUACAUAUAUCAGUCAAUAAGUAAAACAAACAAGUAAUCACCUACUAACAUACCUAACACCACUAAAAUGCCUAGUAACUUGGUAAACUUGAUUGAAAAACAAAAAAGCUUCUACCUAAGCUUGUCAUUCAGCACCUAAUUACAUCAAAAUGCAGCUACCAACUAAGUUUGAUCCUAACUAAAUACAAAACAUUCAAUUAAGGAAACCAAAUGAAUAGCUUCAGCUUGCUGCAUCAAUUUGCUGCUGAAGCACGUUCCUUGCAUGGCCACCUUUGCUGCUACAUGGGAGCUGACUUCAACACUCCUCCUCAGCUUCUAUGCAGCAGACUCCUAGCUUCCUCUUCAGGCUUAGAUAUCUUGAUACACCAAGAGGCUUUGUGAAGAUAUCGGCAAUCUGAUUUUCAGAACUGCAAUGGAUUAGCUCAAUUUCUCGAGCUUGUUCCAUUUCUCUUAUCACAUGGAGUUUGAUGUUGAAAUGUUUUGUCCUGCCAUGAAAGACAGGAUUUUUAGCAAUAGCAACUGCUGACUUGUUGUCACAAUGUAUCACAGUUGCUUCAUUCUGCUGUAGAUUCAAGUCACUCAAAAUUUUUCUCAGCCACAUGGCUUGAUUAACAGCAUUGGCAGCUGCUACAUACUCUGCUUCUGCUGUCGAUUGAGCCACCAUUGUUUGUUUUCUUGAGCUCCAACAAAUCAUAGCUGAGCCAAGUGUAAAAGCAUAGCCAGAAGUGCUCUUCAUGUCAUCCUUUGAACCAGCCCAAUCGCUAUCAGUGUAGCCAAUCAGUUUCAACUCUUCAGCCUUUCUAAACUGUAUUCCAUGGUUUAAGGUACCUUUAAUGUAUCUUAGCACCCUUUUCCCAGCCUUGUAAUGUUGCUGGUUACAGCAGUGCAUGAACCUUGAUAGCAUGCUUACAGCAAACAAAAUGUCGGGUCUUGUUGCUGUCAAAUACAAUAAACACCCAACAAGGCUUCUGUAAUCUGUUUCACAGACAGAUUCAUGUUCCUCCUGGCUCGAUAGCUUUAUGCCAAUAGCCAUUGGUGUGCUCACUGGUUUGCAAUUCUCCAUUGAGAAUUUAGCCAGCACUUUCAAGGCAAAUGUCUUUUGUUUCAAGAAGAUUCCUCCUUCUAUUUGAUUGACUUCCAUUCCUAGGAAAUAUGUCAUCAAUCCCAGGUCUGACAUCUCAAACAUUUUCUUCAUUCUUGCUUUGAAAUCAACCAUCAUAAGCUUGUCUCCUCCAGUCACGAGAAGAUCAUCAACAUAUAGUGACACAAUAAGCUGUGUUUCAGCUCCAUUCUUCUUAACAUAGAGUGUUGGCUCACUAGCACUCCUUUCAAAUCCCAAACUGACCAAAUAUGAGUCAAUUCGAGCAUACCAGGCUCGAGGGGCCUGUUUUAGGCCAUACAAGGCCUUUCUUAGCCUAUACACCAAUUGUUCCUUACCAGGCACUAUAAAACCUGGGGGUUGCUCGAUGUAUAUCUCUUCUUCAAGAAAUCCAUUGAGGAAUGCAGACUUGACAUCCAUCUGGUGGAUUGUCCACUGGUUCUGAGCAGCAACUGCAAUCAGCAAUCUGAUUGUAUCGAGUCUGGCUACUGGAGCAAAUGUUUCCAUGUAGUCCAGACCAUACCUUUGACUGAAGCCCUUUACAACUAGCCUGGCCUUUAGCUUGUUUAAGCUUCCAUCUGCAUUGUACUUCACUCGAUAGACCCAUUUUACACCGAUAGUCUUUCUGUUGGCAGGCUUUUCAACCAACUCCCAUGUCUGAUUCUUUACAAUCAUGUUGAUUUCAUCAACCAUAGCUUGUUUCCAACCUUCAUCUGCCUCAGCCUCUUCAAAACUGCUAGGUUCUGCUAAUGCAACCUGUGCCCUUUCAUAAAUAUCUUCUAGGGGCCUUGUGCCUCUCACAGGCACAUCAUCAACAUCCAUUUCAGGUUCUAGCUGCUCAAGUUCAGCUUGAUUAGGCACUAGGUCUUCUGAAAUUGCUUCUGGCUCAUUUUUCUCCCAAUUCCAGCAGGCUUUUUCAUCAAAGAUGACAUCUCUGCUCACUUGGACUUUGUUUGUCAAGGGAUCCAGAACCCUGUAGCCCUUUUUGACUGAGCUGUAGCCUACUAGAACACCUGGUUGAGCCCUUUUAGAGAGCUUGUCUCUCUUUGCUGCUGGUAUUUGUGCAUAACACAGGCAACCAAACACUUUCAGGUGUGCCAAGGAAGGCUUGAAACCAAACCAAGCCUCGAAAGGUGUCUCGGAUGCAAGAGCUUUAGUGGGAAGCCUGUUCUGAAGGUAAACAGCAGUGUUUACUGCCUCAGCCCACAUGGUCUUGGGCAGUUUCUUCUCAAACAGCAGACAUCUGGCCAUAUCCAUCAGACUUCUAUUCUUUCUUUCAGCUACCCCAUUCUGCUGAGGUGUGUAGACAUUUGUAAGCUGAUGUUUGAUACCAGCAUCAUUGCAAAUGGCUUGAAACUGAGCUGAAGUGUACUCAGUGCCAUUGUCUGUCCUUAUCGAUUUCAGCUUGCAACCUGUUUCUGUUUCUACAGCAUUUUUAAACUUCACAAACACUUGAGCUACCUCAGACUUGUGUUUUAAAAAGAAAAUCCAGCAAAACCUUGUAAGAUCAUCAAUAAAGAGGAUGAAAUACCUGUUUUUGCUGAGUGAUUCAGUCCUCAUCGGGCCACAUACAUCAGAGUGCACCAGCUGUAGUCUUUCAGUAGCUCUCCAAGCUGAAUUUGUAGGAAAUGGCAGUCUUGCCUGUUUCCCCAUUUGGCAGACUUCACACACAUCAUCAUGCUCCACUGAGCUGGUGAAGUUCUCUGCCAUGCCCUCUUUGGCCAAUCGAGCCAUUGAUCUGAAGUUGGCAUGUCCAAGCCUUUGAUGCCAAAGCUUGGAGUCUUCAACAGAGGCUGUGUAUGCUGAGUUUGAGUCAUUUGCCCAGUGAACCUCAAAGCAUUUAUCAGUCAUUGUGACUGUCAUAAGGCUUGAUCCACUUGGAUCAGUAAUAUGGCAUUGUUUAUCCUUGAACACAACAGAAUAACCUUUCUCGAGCAGUUGAGCUAUGCUGAGAAGGUUUCUGUCAAUCUGUGGUACCAACAGCACAUUUGGAAUGAUCUUGUUGCCUGUGGGAGUAGAUAUCAGCACUUCUCCUCUUCCUUCAGCCCUUAUAAACUGACCAUUUCCAACCUUGACCUUGGUUUUAUAACUUCUGUCCAAGGUUUUAAACAAGGAGGCAUCUGGUGACAUGUGGUUAGUGCAACCACUGUCCAGCAGCCAGCCUUUAGAGCAUUUCUUCUCAGAAGCUACACAGGAAACAGCAAAGACCUGUUCUUCUUGGUCACUACUGUCCUCAGCUACUCGAGCUUCAACCUUUGACUGCUGAAAUUGAUUCUGCCUUGGCUUACUUCUGUUUUUGCAGACCCUUUCAACAUGGCCCUUCUUCUUGCAGUGUUGGCAUACUGCAUCUGGCCUAAACCAGCAUCUGUCUUCUGGAUGGCCAGGCUUCUUGCAAUAUCUGCAUGGCUGGUCAUUGCUCCUUGCAGCAUCAGGCUUAGGCCUGUUUUUCCAAGGCCUUUUGCCUCUUUGAGCAUUAGUGCUCGAGGUUUCUCUGGCCUUGGCUUGAAAUGCACCUUCUUGGUGAUCUUCAGCUCUGCUAGCUCUUCUUUGUUCCUGAGCAUAAAAGGUGUUGAUUAGCUCAGUCAAAGAGAUGCUAGCAAGAUCUCUUGAGUCCUCUAGAGAGGAUAUCUUGGCCUCAUAUCUCUCAGGCAAAGUGGAGAGGACUUUCUCCACAAUUCUUGCCUCAUCAAAGUGCUCACCUAGGAGCCUUAUGCUGUUAACCACUGCCAUAAUUCUAUCUGAGUACUGCUUCACUGUUUCUUCUUCCUUCAUCUUCAAAUUCUCGAAAUCCCUUCUCAAGUUUAGCAGCUGCUGUUGCCUUGUUCUCUCAGUGCCUUGAAACUCCUCCUUAAGCUUAUCCCAGGCCUGUUUUGGAGUCUCACAGGCCAUGAUUCUGGUGAAGAUGACAUCUGACACACAGUUCUGGAUGCAGGACAUGGCUUUGUGCCUUUUGGUCCUCUCAUCAGCAUGUUGCCUAAUCUGAGCUACUGUGGGAUUAGCCCUCAGUGGUGCUGGCUCAGUAUCUGUGUUGACAACUUCCCACAGAUCAAAAGCCUGUAGGUAAGUCUUCAUCUUGACCAGCCAUAUGUGAAAGCCUUCUCCAUUGAAGACUGGUGGGGCUGCUGGUGAAAAUCCUGAAGAAGCCAUCAAGUUCUUUGUUUUGAAGCAACAGGUCCACUAAGACAAGAGCUCUCGAUACCAAUUGUUGGUGCAAGAGGCAGCAGCAAGCUGUUUCUAGUCUUGCUUGAGUAGUAAGGCUCGAGGCUUGGUGAAGAAGCAAACUCGGAAGCAAUAAAAAACAGAAAGAUGAAGCUAGCAAGUGAAAACAGAAAAGAGAGAAAGAGAUUGAAUGAAAAUGAGCUGAUAUUUUUCAUUAACACAUGAACAAGGCAUUAAGCCAUUACAUAUAUCAGUCAAUAAGUAAAACAAACAAGUAAUCACCUACUAACAUACCUAACACCACUAAAAUGCCUAGUAACUUGGUAAACUUGAUUGAAAAACAAAAAAGCUUCUACCUAAGCUUGUCAUUCAGCACCUAAUUACAUCAAAAUGCAGCUACCAACUAAGUUUGAUCCUAACUAAAUACAAAACAUUCAAUUAAGGAAACCAAAUGAAUAGCUUCAGCUUGCUGCAUCAAUUUGCUGCUGAAGCACGUUCCUUGCAUGGCCACCUUUGCUGCUACAUGGGAGCUGACUUCAACAUCCUCAAACUGAGAGAAACCAAACGAGAGGAAAUUUCCAAGAAAUUGGGAGGUAAAUAAGAGAUUGGGUUCCAAUCAAGGAUAAGUUUGGAAAGAAAAGAGAGUCUUGAGAGUGAAGAACAUAAUGGACCUUUCAAACCACAGCUUGACAGACUCAACACAUGCAGGUUUGGAAGUACAAGAGAUGUGGUUUCACACCAUUUAGUACUUUGAGUUGAAAUGUCGACACCAUCCAAAUAAAGCUCCGUGAGAAACUUCAAAUUCUUGAUAAAUGUCUUGAAGUUUGGUUUCUCCAAUUUUAAAGUAGCUGAGUUAUAAUCGUAACCAUUUCUCCAAUAGCAAUCAUCUUGAUAAGAUAGGUUCAGAGAGACUAACCUUGUUAGGUGUGAGAUGUUCAUUGGAAUUUGGCCAUGGAAACAUGAGCUUGAAAGGUUGAGAUGAGUUAGAUUUUGGAGUUUAUCAAACCCAUAGGAAAACAGAGUGGUAUUAAAGUUGUUUCCAGCAAGAUUAAGGCGUUGAAGACGAUGGAGAUUGAAUAUGGGGUGAAAGCUGCCUGAAAGGUUUUUGUAACUAAGAUCAAUGCCAACGACAUGACCAUAAGCAUCACAAGUGACUCCUUCCCAAGAGCAACAAUCAGUGUUGACAUCCCAGAGGUCAAAUUCGGAAGAGAAAGUAAAAUGAGGGGCAUAGUAAAGAUGAUGCUGCAAUUGCAGGAGAGGAGCUCUCUGGUCAUCAAGGCAUUGCUUAGGGAGAUGAGAUUGAGGAGGUGAAAAAGACAAGACAAGAGAAAGGAAGCAUGAGAAGAGGAAGAGUGAAAUAAGGAAAUGAAGAGUGUUCAUGUUUGUUGGGUGUGAAGAAGGAUUGUGCUUGGCAUACAACUUAUUUAUACACAAAUGUGUAGUUUUCAUGUUUGGCAUAGCAUGCAAUUUCCAAGUCUUUUUGCCCAGUCAAUACUGCAUCAAAAUAAUGUUCCACCACUUUAGUUAAGUCUUUUUGGUUAACCUUUUCCAGCAAGGGAUAAUAAUAAUAAUAAUACUAAUAAUAAAUAAUUUAUAGCAUAAAUUAUUUGUUGUUAGUAUUAGAAAUAAGUUGUUAAAUUCACAUUUAAUUUGCGUUUUAAUAUAUUAUUAGAGAAUAAUAUAUUAUUGAUGUCAUUUUUUUAAUAUUUAAUAUUUAUGUUUUAUGUUUUAUAUUAAUAAAUAUUUUUAUAAUUCGAGUUUCGAGUUGAAUUUUACAAUUUAAAUAACUCAAAUACUUCAAACAAUAAAUUGAUGUACAUGCUCCUUUGGUCCCUGUCAAUUUUAAAAAUUAACAAAUUGAUCUCUCUCAACAAAAGUUUUCAAAUAAAAUUUUAAAUAAUUUUUAAAAUCAAAAUAUUCAUAAAAAUUCUCAAAUUUAUAUUUUGUAAAAACUAUAAUAAUUUUAAAUCAUAAUGGUUUUAAUUUGAAAAUUUUAAAAUCUUUAAUUUAGGACCAGAAAAAAUUGUAGUAUGAAAUAUUAUAGGCCUUUUAAUUUAGGUAUUAAGUCUUUGGCAUUGCAUGCAAAUGUCCAAGUUUUUAUUGCACAAAAAUAAUGUUUAACCAAUGUGUACAAGUCAAGUCACCUUAUAGAUUGAUGGACACAAUAAGUGGAAAUUUUGAUGAUAGAAUAUAUAGAAUUUUUCACUUUUGAAAGAUACAUUUUUAAAUUUCAGCUUUCAAACUUUCUUAAAGCUUGAGAAAUAUUUUCAUUUCUAUAUUAUUAUUUAAUUAUUAUUUAAUUUUAAUAUUUUAAUAUUUUAUAAUAUUAAAAAUAGUUAUAAUUCGAGGUUCGAGUUGAAUUUUAUAAUUUAAAUAAUUCGAAUAAUUCAAAUAACAGAUUGAUAUAUUUACUCCUUUGAUUCUUGUCAAUUUUAAAAAUUAACAAAUUAAUAUUCUCUCUCAACAAAAAUUACAAAAAUAUAUUAAAAUAUUUUUAAAGUUAAAAUAUUCAUAAAAAUUCUAAAAUUUAUAUUAUGUAAAGACUAUAAUAAUUUUUUAUUAUUUUGCUUUGAAACAGUUUUCUAAUAUUUAUGAUUUCAAAUAUUAAUUAUACUAUAAUAAAAUUUUAAUUUGACAUAUUUAUUUUUUAAUUUAAAUCAAACAAUUUUACACAAUAAUGUUUUUUAUAUACCCUAUAAUUUUGACCAGUCAACACUAUAAACAUAGGUAAAAUACAAAUACAUAAGAGCUCAAAAAUAACACUAAAAAAAACAAUUGUUUGAUUUAUUAGUAGAGAAUUGGAUUUUUAAUUCUAAUGAUUAAAUAUCAAACUCAAACAACUUCAAAUAUAUAUACAUAAAGGAUGUUAUGUAACACUCAUAAAAAUCAUCAAAAAUAAAUGAGUACUCCUAAAUCCCAACUUAUAAAUAUGCUAUGAUCUACCAACGGGUUUAAUUAAAUCCAACACCCCAAAUUAUGGGCUCAACUCUAACACUACACCAGAACAGGCUUUUAGCGGCAUAUUUUGUGGCGUUUGGAUUACAAACGCCGCUAAAAAUCGAGCAUUAGUGGCGCAAAGAAUACAACGCCGCUAAAGAUCUAGCAUUAGCGGCGCUUCUUUUAAAACGCCGCAAAAAGUCGGAUGAAUAGUGGCGUUUCCCGAACAAACGCCAUAAAAAAACAUCAUUAGUGGCGUUUACCACACAGUGCCGUAGAAUCUCAAGACCAACACGCAGUGUUCUGGUCUUGAUGUAUAUUAGAAUUAGUGGCGCUUACGAACAAACGCCGGUAAUGCAUAGUAUUAGCGACGCUUAGCGGAAGCGCCGCAAAAGAUGUUAACCAAAACGCAGAGUUUGGUGUUGAUGUAUAUUACAAUUAGUGGUGCUUAUAAAGAAAACGCCGCUAAUGUAUAGUAUUAGCGGCGCUGAGCGUUAAAUGCCGCAAAACAUCUUAACCAAAACGCAGCGUUUUGGUCUUGAUGUAUAUUAUAAUUAGUGGCGUUUAAGGAAAACGCCACUAAAGCAUAGUAAUAGCAGCGUUUGGUUGUAAGCGCCUCAAAAUAUCUUAACCAAAACGCGGAGUUUGGUCUUGAGGUAUAUUAGAAUUAGUGGCGCUUAUUGGAAAACGCCGCUAAACUAUAGUAGUAGCGGCGCUUGUGGAAAGCGCCGCAAAGUAUCCUAACCAAAACGCAGAGUUUGGCCUUGACGUAUAUUAGAGUUAGUGGCACUUAUUUCAAAACGCCGCUAAUGCUUACUAUUUGCGGCGCUUUGUGGUAAGUGCCGCCAAAAAAUGCACAAUAAAAGGAAAAUACAAAAAGCAAGCCAAUUAAAAAUAAAAAACAAAGGAAGCAAUAAGUAAAUAAAUAAAUAAAAAGGUGACUACCAAUAAAACAUUUUAUUAAAAAUUGAAAAUAAAUAAAUAAAUAAUAAAUGAAACAGUUUGUAAAAAAAAUUGAAGUUAAAUAAACUAAGGAUCAUAUUGAAAUCGGAAUAAAAUUAAGGAGUAUAAAUUGUAAAUAAAAAAGGCUAAUAAGAAUUAAAAUAUAACAUGCUAAAAAGAAUAGGGACCGAAUAGGAGAAUAUACCUUGCCCUUAUGCGCACCGUUUCUCACGGGACUAAAAUGAAAUAAAAUUAAAAUUUCGUGAUAAAAUUAACAUAAAACCUAGACCAACAGGUUCACUCUUUAUUAAUGAGUAUGGAACUUCUGAAUAUGUUAGGAUUUACCAAAAGGUUAAUUCCUUAAAUUAUGGAUUAAAUUUUAAAUUGAUUUCUAAAUUUUUAAAAAAAAAUUUGAUUAAGCCCUCAAACUAUAAGUUACAUCCUAAUUUGAAAUUUUUAAUUUUGGACUAACAAAGAAAAUAUUAGUGUGAGAUAUUGUUGGCCUUUGGCUAACAUUGGAAAGCAUACUAGAUUUUAAGAAAUAAUUUAUUUGAUAAAAUUUUUAUUAUUUUUAUUAUUUUUAUCAUAUUAUUACUUAAUUCAACCAUAUUUUUAAAAUUAAUAAAACUAUCCUUGAAAGUAUAAAUAAACUAGUAUAAAAAUAAGUGACGGGCUGAACUAAAACCCGGACCAACAGGUCCACCCUUUACACCCGGUCCUAAAGCCCAACACGUGAUUCAUAAAAUAUAAAACUCAUGUCUGUUUGGAAGAGCAAAGGAUGGGAGUAGCAGCAUCUGCGUCUCUUUACACAAUCAGUCCAAUGUCCGUCAAAUAUGGCUUUCACCAACAUCAUGCCAUCAAAUCUCCUCAGCUGUACAAAUAUUCUGAAGAUAAAAAAAUUGAAGUGAAUUGCAUAUAAAAGAAAGCUUGGGCAGACAUUUCCUUGUUUAUAAUAUCAUUAUUAGCAUGGAAAUUCAGUAGCAGUGAAACAUUGCAUCCCCCAAAUCCACAGGGACCUGGAUGCAAAAUGAAUAAACACUUAUUUAUACUCAUAGAAAACUACAACAGGAAAAAAGUGCAUAUAAAGCAAAACUACAAACCAGUGGAUUGAUCUUGUUAGGAUCAUUGCCUACAUUCUUCAUGAACCUCACAACUGUACAUUCCAUUUCCUACUUCAAGUACCUCCUGCAUUGCUCAAUGGUAACAUCAAAUUACAAGUACGAUAUGAUAGUGAAGUUGGUAAUGACAACAAAAAAUGAGGUUAUGAAAACCUAUAUAUAUACAUAUAUAUCAACAACUAUCUGUUCAAAUUAGAAAGACAAAUGCUUACCAGCUAAUUUUGAAGCAAAAAUUCUGACGGAGUCACCUACAUCUUCUUCUAUUUCUUUUCCCACACUUUUUGAACUUGUCAACCCAUUUGUUUCCCAACUCAUUCAGCGCUGUAUAUCCAAUACAUAGCCCAACGAUUAAUCCACUAGCAUAACCUAUCAACGCAAUUUUCCAAGUAGACAGAGCAUUUAACCAUGAAUCUUCACCUUCCCCUGGAGGUGGUGGCAUUGGAAGACUAACUUCAUUGCAUUUCCUUGACAAUGGCAGCCCACACAAUUUUGGGUUCCCACGGUAGGAAUCAUUUGUAAAUGUAAUGAAUUGGUUGCUUUGUGGUAUGCUCCCUUCAAGUUGGUUGCAUGACAAGUUCAAUGCUGCCAGGAAAGUUAAACUUGUAAGUUGUGCAGGAAUCUUCCCUGACAGCUCAUUCUGUGAGAGAUCCAAAGAUUCAAGAUCUUUUAGAUUUUCAAGUGCUAAUGGGAUUUCACCAGAAAAGCCAUUGUUGGAUAAGUUUAUCACUCUGAGUGACCUCAGCAUUUGUAUCUCUUCUGGUAUUCUCCCAUGGAAACUAUUGUUGGAAAGGUCAAGACAAGUAAGAAUUGUCAAGACUUUUUGGUACAACAUUUCAAUCCCUCUGUUAACAAUUGUCACAGAGUCUUGAUAAUAAUUCUCUCCGAUAUAAUCCAGCGUAGCCUUUUCAUCAUUAGUCAUCUCCGCCAUUGCCUUCAAACUCUGCAAAAAUUCAAUAGACAAGUCACCUGAAAAAUUGUUGGAAGCAAUGUCCAAUAUGCGUAGCUUUGGAAACCCACGUUUCGUGUCAAUUUUUGAAAUUGUGCCGUAGAAUCUGUUUGCUCGCAAAACGAGAACCUUCAAGGAAGGUAGCUUCUCUAACCAAAAUGGGAAUGUAUCAUGAACCAUAUUAUUUCCAAGGUCCAGAACCUCAAGUGCUGUGCAAUUGGCUAAUGAUCUCGACAGCUUCCCUUCCAAUUUAUUCCCACCUAUUUUGAGUGACCUUAGUCGAGUGGGUUGAAGGAAAUCAAUGGAUAGUUCACCAGAAAACUGGUUUGAAGCAAUGUCCAAUACAUCCAAAGUUGGGAAAACAGAUUUAUGUUUGAAAUGUUUAAUUUGACCAUAAAAUCUGUUUUCCCGCAAUAUUAGAACCGUCAAGUAAGGCAAUUUCUCCAACCAAAAAGGGAAUGUAUCAUUCAUCUUGUUGCUUCCCACGUCCAAAACUUCAAGCUGAGUGCAUUCAGCUAAUGAUCUGGGCAACUUCCCUUCCAAUCUAUUCUCACUAACUUUGAGAAACGACAGUUGGGUUGCUUUUGAAAAUUUUGGCAUCAUUCCACUGAAGUUAUUUCCUUGCAGAUCCAACGAAUAGAGAGCACUCAUAUUGCCCAAGCAAUUCGGAAUUGGGCCACUCAAACUGUUAUAAGAUACAUCAAAACGGCCGAGUCGACUCAUUUUGCAUAACCAAUUUGGAAUUGGGCCACUCAAAUUGUUAGAAGAUGCGUCGAAACUGAAAGGCCCCUGUGAAAAAUUUGAACUCUGAUUGGGUAGAAGUUGUUCCAAAGACGAGAGAUGGUUAUUAGCAAGAUACAGAUACCGCAAACUUUUCUUCCACACCCAGUUUGGAAUUGCACCACUUAUUUUAUUAUUUGAAAGUUCGAGAUAUUCCAAAUUUUCUUGACUCUUUAAGAACUCUGGAAAUGAGCUUAUGUUACAAGAUUCCAGAUACAAUUCCCUCAACAUUGAAAAAGAGAAGUUUAAAUCACUUAAGGGAAGCUGUUUUGGAAAAUCAAUCACAUUGAAAGAAAGGUUUACCCUUAAAAGAGUGCUAUUCCACAACCAAUUAGGCACAACACCAUGGAUAUGGUUGUUAGAAAGAUCUAACACAACCAACUUGUCUUGUGUUUUUGUUGGAACAAUGACAGCAGCAAACAUCAAAGCAAAUUUGCAACUCAAUGUUUGCAAGACUGAAGCAAGAAGAAUCAAGGCAAGCAAAGCAUCAAAAAUCAAAAUACUCAGCAAUGUUUGUGACUGAACAUACCUCAUUUUUCAUUCAACUUGAAAUAUAUAAAAGAGUUACAAUUGUACAUUGACAGUUACCUAAUGUAUUUAACUGCCCCAACUAAUACAAACCUAAUCACUAGCCAAAAAUAAUCAAACAUAGCUGACCAAUCAGCCAUUACAUCAAAAGAUCAUGUCACUAACUUAAGUUUAACUAGCAUUACAAACAAACUAAAGUUGAACUGAAUCAAAUUACAUCAAAACAAAACAGCAAAGUUGGUUGCUUCAUUCAGUUCAAAAACCAUUCGUGCGCACCAAGCAAAACGAGCUGAGCUCGAUAGCUGCUGGUCUCGAUAGUAGCAAGCUUUUGGCUCCAUGUUGCAUUGCAGUCCAGCUUUCAACACUCCUCCUUGGACUGUAUGCAACACAUUCCAAUUGCACUUCUCAAAGAUUCAAAUCGAGCAGCCCCUAAGGGCUUGGUCAUUAUGUCAGCCAAUUGUGCUCCUGAGCUGCAAUUCACAAGGCUGACUUCCUUUGCUUGUUCAGCCUCUCUAACAAAAUGCAAUUUGAUCUUAAAGUGCUUAGUCUUGCCAUGGAACACAGGGUUCUUGGCUAUUGCAACUGCAGACUGAUUGUCCACCCAGAUUUCAGUUGCUUCAUCUUGAGUUUCAUUAAGGUCAUAAAGCAGCUUUCUUAGCCAAAUGGCCUGAUUAACUGCUCCUGCUGCAGCAAUGUACUCUGCUUCAGCUGUGGACUGAGCAACAGUUUGUUGCUUCUUAGAACUCCAGCAAAACAUACCCGAUCCAAGUGUGAAGAAGUAUCCAGAGGUACUCUUCAUGUCAUCGAGAGAUCCUGCCCAGUCGCUGUCAGAGUAGCCUUCUAAUUUCAGUUGGUUCUGACUUUCAAACAUUACACCAAAACUAGCAGUGCCCUUGAUGUAUCUAAGGAUCCUCUUUGCUGCCUUCAAAUGUGCCUCAUUGCAACAAUGCAUAAAUCUUGAUAACAGGCUGACACCAAACAUGAUAUCUGGCCUGGUUGCUGUUAGAUACAACAGACAACCAACCAGGCUUCGAUAGUGCCUCUCAUCAACCCUCUGCUGAUCACCACUGCUAGUCAGCUUUUCUCCUUGAGCCACAGGUGUGCUGACUGCUUUACAGUUAUGCAUGCAAAAUUUGUCUAGAAUCUUCAAAGCAAAUGAGUGUUGGCUGAUGAAGAUACCUCGAUCAGAUUGGUGCACUUCCAUGCCAAGGAAGUAAGUCAUGAUCCCCAAAUCUGUCAUCUCAAACACUUGCUGCAUUUGGACCUUGAACUGAUCAAUGAGCUCGAUUUUGCUCCCUGUCACAAGCAAAUCAUCCACAUACAAGGAGACUAUCAGCAAGGUUUCAUGUUCUGACUUUUUAACAUAUAGAGUAGGCUCACUAAGGCUCUUUGCAAAUCCAAGUUUGGUCAGGUAGGCAUCAACUCUGUCAUACCAGGCCCUUGGUGCCUGUUUCAGGCCAUAGAGGGCCUUUCUCAACUUAUACACUUUGUCUUCAUGUCCAACAACUUCAAAACCUUCAGGUUGCUCGAUAAAGAUCUCCUCCUUGAGAAAACCAUUCAGGAAUGCUGAUUUGACAUCCAAUUGGUGAACUCUCCACUGCUUCUGAGCUGCUAAAGCAAACAGCAGCUUAAUUGUAUCCAGUCUUGCCACUGGAGCAAAAGUUUCUAGGUAGUCAACACCAUACUGCUGACUGUAGCCCUUCACCACAAGCCUGGCCUUGUGCUUGUUCAGUGAGCCAUCAGCAUUGUACUUGGCCCGAUACACCCAUUUAACUCCUAUGACCCUCUUGUGUUCUGGUCUGCUCACCAACUCCCAAGUCUGAUUUUUGUUGAUCAUUUCCAACUCAGCUUCCAUAGCUUUCAUCCAGCUUCUGUUUUUAGCAGCCUCUUCAAAGUCUGAGGGCUCAAUCACAGCAACAUUGCACCUCUGAUAAACAUCAACCAAAGUUCUGGUGCCCCUCACUGGUAUAUCAUCGACAGCAUCAUUACUUGGUCCUUCUUCUGCAGGUUCAACCAAGUCUAACUGGUCCAAUUCAGACAAGUUAGCCACAACACCAUUCCAAUUCCACACCUUUUCCUCAUCAAACUUAACAUCCCUGCUGACUAAAACCUUCUUUGCUGUAGGAUCAUACACUCUAUAGCCCUUCUUAUUGCUGCUGUAGCCAACAAAGAUUCCUGGAGUUGCUCUGCUCUCAAGCUUGGUCCUUUUCUCCACUGGAAUAAGUGCAUAACAUACACAGCCAAACACUUUUAAGUGUGUUAUCACAGGUUUGACUCCGUGCCAAGCCUCAAAAGGAGUCUUAUCCUUGACUGCUCUAGUUGGCAGUCUGUUGAGCAGAUACACUGAGGUGUUGACUGCCUCAGCCCAAAACUGACUUGGAAGCUUGCCUUGAAACAAGAGGCACCUGGCCAUGUUCAGUACAGUCCUAUUCUUUCUCUCACAGACUCCAUUCUGUUGAGGAGAAUAGACUGUUGUGAGCUGAUGGUGAAUCCCAGCAUUGUCACAAAGCUUCUGAAAUCUCUCAGACACAUAUUCAGAUCCAUUAUCAGUCCUCAAGGCUCUAAUUUUGCAGCCUGACUGAUUUUCAGCAUAAGCCUUGAAUUUACAGAAGGCUUCAAACACUUCUGACUUUUGCUUCAAGAAAUAGACCCAGCAUAACCUUGUUAAAUCAUCUAUAAACAAGGCAAAGUACCUGUUCUCACUGAUUGAAGGUGUUCUCAUAGGGCCACAAACAUCAGAGUGCACCAAUUCGAGCUUGUCUUGAGCUCUCCAAGCACUGUCAGCAGGAAAAGGCAGUCUAGCCUGCUUACCAAGCUGACAAACCUCACAAACAUUCCCACUAGCUUCAAUUUUUGAAAUGUCAUCAACCAGAUUCAGCCUAUGUAAUAGAUCAAUAGAUCUAAAAUUUGCAUGGCCUAGUCUCCUAUGCCACAAGUCAGUGCUUUCAACAAGGCUGGUGUAUGCCUUUCUUUCUAUUUGGCUAACAUCCAGCAUGAAGCACCUAUCAGUCAUAGAGACUGUGACUAACUCCAGACCAUUCAUGUCUUGAACAAUACAGCAACCAUCCUUAAAAACCAAUGUAUAGCCCUUUUCAACUAAUUGGCCCACACUAAGCAAAUUCUGGUCUAAUUCAGGUACAAAAAACACAUCUGAGAUCAGCUUGUUACCUGAACCAGUGCUAAUCAACACACUGCCCUUGCCUUUAGCCUCAAUCAGCCUACCAUCUCCAAUUCUAAUCCUCGAGUGGAAGCUUCUGUCUAGGCUUUUGAACAGCUUCUCAUCUGCUGCCAUAUGGUGUGAGCAGCCACUGUCUAGUAGCCAAUCAUUGCUGGCCUUGGUUGUGCCAACAAAACAAGUUGCUGUGAACACUUGCUCCUCCUGAGCUUGAAUGUCCUCAGCAGGUCUAGCUUGUUGCAGAGUAGCCUCCCUUGGUUUGCCCUUGCACACCUUCUCCACAUGGCCAAACUGUUUGCAUUUUCUACACUGAAUAUCUGGCCUAAACCAGCAAUACUUUUCUGAAUGUGUUGUCUUCUUGCAAUGAACACAUGGUGGGAACACCCUUUUUGCUUCAUCUCUUCCUGACUUGACCCUUCUAUUGUGCCAAGGCUUCUUGCCUUUUGCACUCACACUCGAGCCUUCACUGGCUUUAGCCUGGAAAGCAGCUUCAGGAUUCUCCUCCUGCCUAUUUGCCCUCCUUUGCUCAAGUGCAUAUAGGGAAUUUAUCAGCUCAGACAAUGAAAUGGCUGAUAAGUCCCUCGAGUCCUCAAGUGAAGAGAUUUUAGACUCAAAUUUCUCAGGAAGAGUUGUAAUAACCUUUUCAACAACUCUGCUCUCUGUGAAGUCCACUCCCAGGAGCCUAAUGCUGUUGACAAUGGCCAUUAUCCUGUCUGAGUACUGCUUGAUGGUCUCAGACUCCUUCAUCCUCAAGUUUUCAAAGUCUCUCCUGAGGUUGAUUACUUGCUGUUGCCUUGUCUUAUCAGUCCCCAUGAACUCCUCCUUCAGCUUCUCCCAAGCCUGCUUAGGUGAGUCACAGGCCAUGAUGCGAGUAAAUAUCACAUCAGAGACUCCAUUUUGCAAGCAGGCCAUAGCCUUAUGCUUCUUGGCUCGCUCCUCAGUAUGUUGCCUCAUCUGUGCAAUGGUGGGAUUGGCUCUCAAUGGAGGUGGUUCAGCAUCAUUCUCGAUCACACUCCAAAGAUCAUGUGCCUGGAGAUAAGUCUUCAUUUUAACUAUCCAAAUGUGAUAGUUUUCUCCAGUGAACACUGGUGGAGGUGGUGGAGUGAAACUCAUUCUGCUGAACUGAUUUUAAAUGCUUCAAUCUUACCAAAUUUUGAACUUGCUGUUGGUUUUGUUUCGAACACAACAGAUUGCAUACAAAGGCCCCUCAAAGACUCGGGCUCAUGAUACCAUUUGUUGGAACAAUGACAGCAGCAAACAUCAAAGCAAAUUUGCAACUCAAUGUUUGCAAGACUGAAGCAAGAAGAAUCAAGGCAAGCAAAGCAUCAAAAAUCAAAAUACUCAGCAAUGUUUGUGACUGAACAUACCUCAUUUUUCAUUCAACUUGAAAUAUAUAAAAGAGUUACAAUUGUACAUUGACAGUUACCUAAUGUAUUUAACUGCCCCAACUAAUACAAACCUAAUCACUAGCCAAAAAUAAUCAAACAUAGCUGACCAAUCAGCCAUUACAUCAAAAGAUCAUGUCACUAACUUAAGUUUAACUAGCAUUACAAACAAACUAAAGUUGAACUGAAUCAAAUUACAUCAAAACAAAACAGCAAAGUUGGUUGCUUCAUUCAGUUCAAAAACCAUUCGUGCGCACCAAGCAAAACGAGCUGAGCUCGAUAGCUGCUGGUCUCGAUAGUAGCAAGCUUUUGGCUCCAUGUUGCAUUGCAGUCCAGCUUUCAACAGAUUUGGAAGGUCCAUUAUGUUCUUCACUCUCAAGACUCUCUUUUCUUUCCAAACUUAUCCUUGAUGGGAACCCAAUCUCUUAUUUACCUCCCAAUUUCUUGGAAAUUUCCUCUCGUUUGGUUUCUCUCAGUUUGAGGGAUUGCAAUUUGAAUGGGCAUUUUCCAACCGGAAUUCUCUUAUUGCCAAAAAUUCAAAGCAUUGACAUUUCAGGCAAUGACCAACUUAUGGGUCAGUUGCCAGAAUUUCCAGCAAACAAUGCUUUACAGAGUUUGUCGCUUUCUUAUACAAAUUUCAGAGGAGAACUACCUCAAUCAAUUGGUAAUCUCAAGUUCUUAACAGAUUUACAUCUUUCUGGUUGCAAUUUUUUUGGACCCAUUCCAUCGUCAAUUGCAAAUCUUAGUCACCUGGUGAACUUGGAUCUGGGAUAUAAUUAUUUCAGUGGUUUAAUCCCUUCGUUUCAUAGAUUUGGAGUUCCUAAUCUUGAAAAUCUCAAUUUGGAGACGAACAAGCUUUUUGGAUCAAUACAUUCUUCUUUAUUUACUCUUCCAUCGUUGAAGACCUUUUAUCUUGGAGAAAAUCAAUUGGUUGGGAAAAUUGAUGAGUUCCCCAAUGCAUCUUCUUCUUUGAUUGAAGUACUGUCUAUAGGCAAUAAUGAUUUAACAGGACCAAUCCCAAAGUCAAUCCUUCAACUUCCAAGGCUUGAAUGGCUUUAUAUCGAAAGCAAUAGCUUCAGUUCCAUGAAGCUUGACAUGUUUGUCCAUCUCAAGAACUUGAGGUAUCUGACGCUGCUCAACACAAGCUUGUUAAUUGAAAGCGACAAUAGAAGUCUUACUUUUCCCCAGUUAGAGAGCCUAAGCCUAAGGUCAUGCAACCUUACUGAAUUUCCAGAAUUCAUUAAAAGGCAAGACAAGUUGGUUUACUUAGAUCUUUCUAACAAUCAUAUCCAUGGUGUUGUGCCUAAUUGGUUGUGGAAGAGCAGUCUUUCAU